rnacentral:lncRNA from 1 species
UGGAGAAAGGAGGUGGAGUACCUGGGAUGGGCCCCCGACUGCUUGCGUAGCCGAAGGAGGCGCCAUUGUUUGGUUGGGCUUGGGCCGGGUCCGGGGUCGCAAGCCGUCCUCCUCUCGCAGUUUCUGCAUCCGGGCACGAUUGCCCGCCGUGAGGCAGAGGACCUCCGACUUGGGCUGGCUGAAAGCCGGGCCACCGGGGUCGUCAAGGUCGGCGCACUCCUUCUCCCUCGCCAGCCGCUUCGCCAUCCAGUGCACCAGCGGGUUCACCCGGCAGCCGUAGAUGACCCUGGUGCUGCCGUUCUUGAUCGGCUCGAGGAAGCCGCCGCCGGAGAGCUUCGAGAAGAUCCCGUCCGCGCCGCCGCCCCUCUCCGACGGAAGGUUGAACCGCGUGGACCACCAGUACGUCACGGCCUGCUUCUUCACCUGUGAGUCGAGUGGGAACACCGAGAAGGUGAGGAGGCACUGCUGGUACGGCUGCUGCUUGUGGUUCGGGAGCUUCCUGAACUCGGCGAGCGUCAGCCUCGUGCACGCAUCCUCCAGGAUCUUCUCGAGUCGCACCUCCGCCCGUUCCCACCGCCGGCGCGCCUUCUCCUCGUCUUUUGCUGCCGUCGACGGCUCUUUGGUGGUCUCUUCGGUUUUGUCGUCCAGCUUCGACUUUGUCCCCGCCUCCUCCUCCUCCGGCGGUGACGACGUCGACGGCUUGGUCUCUCCGUCUUUCUCCUUCUGCGCCGCCGACUGGUCCUCCUCCGGCUUCUCCGCAUUCUUCGGGGAGCGAUGCCGGCCGUACCACGCCAAGGUGUCCUUCACGAGCACGAACGCAUUUUGAAGCUUCUUUUUCAUGGGGGUUCGCUUGGCGUCAGCUUCGCCUGCAACGGCAACGACACCUUCGGGAGGCCGGACGCUCUCGGUGCGCUGCAGGCUCUUGCGGCGCUUGGUUUGGUGCGGCUCCGCGGGCGGCGCCUCCUUCGGCCCCGCCGGCGACAAUGAGGCCUCGGCUUCAUGGCGACGGCGCUGGCUCCCUUCACUUUCCUCCUUCUGUGCCGCCAGCUCGUCCUCCGGCGCCGAAGGAGAGACCUUAGGCUGCUCGAUUGGCUGGCUUGGCUUCCCGUGGCGGAGGCGGAAGAGGGAGAGAAGCAGCAGCACGGGCGACCGGACGCGGGGCCAGCGGCUUGUGACCGGCUUCUUCUCCUCUGCUUUGGGCGAGUUUGCCGUGGCAGAGUCCUUCCCGUCUUUGGCAGUAUCGCCUUGCUUCUGCUCCUCAGGAGGCGGCGGGGGCGGCGGCGGUGGUGCAGGAAGGUGGUCCACGGCACUGGUGGCGGCCGCCGGCUCCUGCGAAGGAGCCUGUGUUACCUCUCCCUUCCCGGUUUGCCGCUGCGUGUCGGCCUGUGGCGGGCUGGCCGUUUCUGCCGUCGGUGUUUGGUUUUGUGUCGGCGGUGGUGGUGCUGGGCCGGCCGUGUCUGUCUCUGGUGGUGGAGCGGGUGACGCUGACGCCUUUUCAGCGACCUGGUCAGACUUNNNNNNNNNNNNNNNNNNNNNNNNNNNNNNNNNNNNNNNNNNNNNNNNNNNNNNNNNNNNNNNNNNNNNNNNNNNNUGACGGUGGUGGUGGUGGUGGUGGUGGUGCUGGGCCGGCCGUUUCUGUCUCUGGUGGUGGAGCGGGUGACGCUGACGCCUUUUCAGCGACCUUGUCAGACUUCGGUGGCGGUGGCGGUGGCGGUGGUGGUGGAGGGGUUGCCGCCGGGCGGCCGGGCGCAGCCAUGGCUGACGGGCAAUGCUGCGAUGAUGUAGUGCGUGGAGAUGGAGAAGUACAUCAUGUAUGUAUAUAGCCGAUGGCGCUGAGUUCAUCUUUGGCUGGAAUGGAAUUUCAUUUGCUUGCGCGUGACAUGCAUGCAAAUGCUCGACCUCAAAAGCUCGCUGGCAACGACAUUAUUCCAGAGUCGCCAUUUCAGCUAAGAAUGAUCCCUGGCCCGAAGCUUCUUCCCUCUGAAUAAACCUACAAGCAAAGCACCAGAUCCAUGCAUGCGGGCUGGCUGUGCAAUCAAUCAAAAUCCCUAAAAUCUCUAAGCUAAUUUUCACUUUGUUUGUGAUCUAUUUUUUGUUCUAGUUUUUUUGUUUCUUGUUACUGCACUAUAUAUUUAUGGAAGGUUAGAUGUGACAUCUUUAAAAAGCAUCUAGAUGUGAAUUAGAUAAACUGAAUUUUUUUCCUCUAAAGAGUCUAAUUCCUUCGGAACCAAUGCCUUGGCUGGCCCUAGCUGCAUGAACAAGAUGCACACGCCUCGGAUAAUUAGGUUUGCAAGCCGUGCGCGCGUGGUAGCUAGUGCUUUGCUUAACUGACGCAUGCACUUGACGAACCAUAAAAUAACCGAUCGCUGCAAGCAAAGCAUCCCUGCUACUCUACGCUGCUCCUAUGAUCCUGGCAAAGGAUUGGUUGAUCCGGAAGAAGAUAAUGAACGGCGGGAGGACAGGAGAUUUUUUUUUUUUUGAAGCAAGGAAACCAAUGAGAUGCUAGGCUGGUUUGUGCUGUCUUUGGGCCGUGCGUUGGCCUAUACCGGCCUGUGUACCAUUGACGUGUGUAAGUGGCGUGAGUAUUAAAUCCCCACAGCUAUAUCUCGCGCGUGGCCACCCCUUGUUUUUUCUCUCUUUUAGAGCUUGUUGAGAUAUGCCCUCAGCAGAACCUUUGUACUAUUUGUCGUGGGACUUGGGUGUGGUGUACGUGUCAUGUGGCCUUGGUGGUUUGCUUUAUAUAUAAAGCGGGGCGAAAGACUUUUUCGGUAAAUCCCCACAGCUAUAUCUCUCGCGUACUGAUUUCUAAGGCCAAUUCUAUUGGGUGGCUUACAAAAUAUGCUGCCCCUUCCCACCUUAAAAUAUAAGCCACCCCACAGUUUUCUGAAGCAAGGAAACGAAUGAGAUGUUGGGCUGGUUUGUGUCGGCUUUGGGCAGUGCGUUUGGGCCUGCCGGCCUGUGUGCCGUUGACGUGGCGUGAGUAUUAAAUCGCCAGGACCUGCUAAAAAAAACCUAAAUCGCCAGACCUAUACGUCGCCCAUACUGAUUCCUAGGGCCAGCUCUUUUGGGUGGCUUAAAAAAAUAAGUUGCCCCUUCCCAACUUAAAAAAUAAGCCAGUUUUUUGUUUUUUUACUCUUUGGUUUUUUCUUUUUUCACUGGCUUUCGGUUUUCUUUUUCUUCUUCUUCUAUGCUUUGGUUUUCUUUGUUUUUACACUGUUUUCUAUUGUUCUUUUUUCCUUUUUAUAAUUUGAUUCCCUUUGUUUCUUUCUGAGUUUUCUUCGGGUUUUUUUAUUUCUUCGCUUUUAUUUUUGUUUCUUUUGUCAUUUUUCAUUGGUUUUGUUUCUCAAUCCAUGCCUACUGUUAUUUCAUACAAAUUCUACAUUUUCCGUAUAUAUUUAAAACAUUUUUAUAACCAUUAACAUUUUUCAAAUACACAUUUUUUAUAAAAUAUGAUUUGAUUUUUUCUUCAAAUAGCUACUAAAUGUAUUAAAAUGCAUGCUGAAACAUAUUUGAAUGAUAAAAACAUUUCCCCCCUAUGUAAAUAUUUUUAGUACAUUGUACAAACAUUUUUUUGAAAAUAUCAAGAACGCAUUUUUUGAAACUUGUAAAGAUUCUUUUAAAUGUGACGUACAUUUCUUGAAUGUACAUUUCAUUGAAUUACACAAACAUAUAUUUAUAUUUGUAUAAACAAUAUUUAAAAUGUUACGUACAUUUCUUUUGAAAUGUGCGACAUUUUAUAUUUUUCACAAUCUGUACAUAUGAUUAACAUUUUUCAUACAUAUGUGCGACAUUGUAAGUACAUAUGAUUAACAUUUUUCGUAUACAUGAUUAACAUUUUUGUACUUUUUACAUUCUUAUUUAUACAUUUUUCGUAUAAUAUAGAGACAUUUUUCUGUAAACUUUUUACAUUUUUCAAGAUUAACAUAGUACAAACAUUUCUGAAAAAUGUUUCAAACACAUUUUUGAAACUUGUGAACUUUUGUAAAAUGCAACGUACAUUUUUUACUGUAUGAAUCACUUUUUUGAUUACGCAAACAUUUUUACAAUGUAUAAACACUUUUCGUACACACAAUUACCAUUUUGCAUACACAUGAUUAAUAUUUUCUACUUUUUUAUUCACAUUGUUCAUUUUGCAUAUGCAUAAAAAAAUAUGCACCUUUAACAUUUUUCAAAUGAAAGAUUAGAAUUUAAAAAAUGAUGCAAAUUGUCUUUUGUAAUAUAUAUAUCUAGAAUUUUCAAAAUAUAAACAUUGUUAAAAAAUGAUAAUAAAAAUGUGAAUAAAAAUGGAAGGAAAAAAUAGCUACAUGAGGCCAGCAUACGAGCCGUAGCUACUAGGCCGGCUUAAACCUGCUCCCUGCAGGGGAGCCCUAGUAUGAAAAGUUGUCAAUCUAUUUUAGUAAAGGGUGCCCUCGGAGCCCUUGUAAUUUGAGACAUAAAGUAAGAAGAACAUUUUGAAUGUGUAGAAUGAGUCUCUUAGUGAGAAGUAUUUGGGCAUGGCAACCAAGUGGGACAUUCGAAGAAUGGUACUUUCAAAUAUGUGAGAGACCGAGUGUGGGAGAAGGUUUGAGGACGGAAGGAGAAAUUGUAUCUGUUGCAGGCAAGGAGGUACUUAUUAAAGUUGUGGCUCAAGCUAUCCUAGUUUUUUCAAUGUCUUGUUUCAGAUUACCAGGGGGCUUUGCGAGAGUAUAACACCCAUUAUCGAGCAACUCUAGUGGGGGGGGGGGGCAAACAAGGCAAAAUGAGACUAUGUUGGCUGUCAUGGGCUUGUAUAUUCCGAUGAUGGGCUUCCUCAAAUGCCCAAGGUCUUCAUCAGCAACCAAGUUGGGUGUACACCCACUUAGUUUCAGUUUGAGCGUUCAUAUACUUAUAACUCUUAGUGUAUCCGUUGCAUGGCAAUCUCUACUCCUUGCAUUUACAUCAAUUUAUGAGUAUCUCCAUAGCCCAUUGAUUAGCCGCGUGACUAUCUUCUUUUUUGUCUUCCCCUUAUUAAUCUCUAUAACUUCAUUCUAUUCCACCCAUAGUGCUAUAUCCAUGGCUCACGCCCAUGUAUUGCGUGGGGUUGAAAAAGCUAAAGCGCGUUAAAAAGUAUGAACCAAUUACUCGGCUUGUCAUCGAGGUUGUACAUGAUUAAUAUUUUGUGUUAAGAAGAUGGAACAUGACAAGACUAUAUGACUUUCUAGGGAUGGCGUUCUUUUAUCAUUUUUAUUUUGAAAGGCAUGAUUGUUUGUUGGUAUGUCUGAGUAUUGAUGUUUUUAUAUCAAAUUAUAGACAAUUGCUUUGGAUAAUUCGGAUCUUAAUAUUCAUACUCUAAAAGAAAGAUCACAUGAUAGACAUGUUAGGUAGCAUUCCACAUUAAAAAUUCGGUUUUUAUCAUUUACCUACUAGACGAUGAGCAGGAAUUAAGCUUGGGGAUGCUUAAUACGUCUCCAACGUAUCUAUAACUUUUGAUUGUUCCAUGCUAUUACAGUAUCAAUCUUGGAUGUUUUAUAUGCAUUCAUAUGCUAUUUUAUAUCAUUUUUGGACUAACCUAUUAAUUUAGUGCCCUGUGCUAGUUGUUGUUUUGCUUGUUUUGGAUUUUCAGAAAAUCAAUAUCAAACGGAGUCCAAAUGCGAUGAAACUUUACGGUGAUUUUUUAUGGACCAAAAGGGACCCACAAAGGUUCGAGGGAAGACCAGAAGAGUCACGAGGGAGCGACAAGUUCACCAGGCGUGCCCCAGGGGCGCCCCCUUAGCUUGUGGGCCCCUCAUGGCACCUCUUGACCUAAUUCCGCCUCUAUAAAUUCUCAAAUAUUCCCGUUAUACGAGAGAGCCACCCGAAACACUUUUUCCGCCGCCGCAAACUUCUGUUCUUCCGCGAUCUCAUCUGGAGGCCUGUUCCGGAACUCUGUCAGAGGGGCAAUCGAUCACGGAGGGCUUCUAUGUUGGGGAACGUAGUAAUUUCAAAAAAAUUCCUACGCACACGCAAGAUCAUAGUGAUGCACAGCAACGAGAGGGGAGAGUGUUGUCCACGUACCCUCGUAGACCGAAAGCGGAAGCGUUAGCACAACGCGGUUGAUGUAGUCGUACGUCUUCACGAUCCGACCGAUCCAAGUACCGAACGUACGGCACCUCCGAGUUCAGCACACGUUCAGCUCGAUGACGUCCCUCGAACUCCGAUCCAGCCAAGCUUUGAGGGAGAGUUCCGUCAGCACGACGGCGUGGUGACGGUGAUGAUGAUGAUGCUACCGACGCAGGGCUUCGCCUAAGCACCGCUACGAUAUUGUCGAGGUGGAAUAUGGUGGAGGGGGGCACCGCACACGGCUAAAAGAUCAAGAGAUCAAUUGUUGUGUCUAUGGGGUGCCCCCUGGCCACGUAUAUAAAGGAGUGGAGGAGGGGAGGGGCCGGCCCUCUCUAUGGCGCGCCCUGGGGAGUCCUACUCCCACCGGGAGUAGGAUUCCCCCCUUCCAAGUAGUAGGACUAGGAGAGAAGGAAAGGGAAAAGAGAAGAGAAGGAAGGAGAGGGCGCCGCCCCUCCCCCUAGUCCAAUUCGGACUAAGCAUUGGGGGGCGUGCAGCCUCCCCUCUCUCUUUUCCCUAAAGCCCAAUAAGGCCCAUAUACUCCCCGGCGAAUUCCCGUAACUCUCCGGUACUCCGAAAAAUACCCGAAUCACUCGGAACCUUUCCAUUGUCCGAAUAUAGUCGUCCAAUAUAUCGAUCUUUACAUAUCGACCAUUUCGAGACUCCUCGUCAUGUUCCCGAUCUCAUCCGGGACUCUGAAUUACCUUCGGUACAUAAAAAAACUCAUAAUACAAAUCGUCACCGAACGUUAAGCGUGCGGACCCUACGGGUUCGAGAACUAUGUAGACAUGACCGAGACACGUCUCCGGUCAAUAACCAAUAGCGGAACCUGGAUGAUCAUAUUGGCUCCUACAUAUUCUACGAAGAUCUUUAUCGGUCAAACCGUAUAACAACAUACGUUGUUCCCUUUGUCAUCGGUAUGUUACUUGCCCGAGAUUCGAUCGUCGGUAUCUCAAUACCUAGUUCAAUCUCGUUACCGGCAAGUCUCUUUACUCGUUUCGUAAUACAACAUCCCGCAACUAACUCAUUAGUUACAAUGCUUGCAAGGCUUAAGUGAUGUGCAUUACCGAGUGGGCCCAGAGAUACCUCUCCAACGAUCGGAGUGACAAAUCCUAAUCUCGAAAUACGCCAACUCAACAAGUACCUUCGGAGACACCUGUAGAGCACCUUUAUAAUCACCCAGUUACGUUGUGACGUUUGGUAGCACACAAAGUGUUCCUCCGGUAAAUGGGAGUUGCAUAAUCUCAUAGUCAUAGGAACAUGUAUAAGUCAUGAAGAAAGCAAUAUCAAUAUACUAAACGAUCAAAUGCUAAGCUAACGGAAUGGGUCAAGUCAAUCACAUCAUUCUCUAAUGAUGUGAUCCCGUUAAUCAAAUGACAACUCAUGUCUAUGGCUAGGAAACUUAACCAUCUUUGAUUCAACGAGCUAGUCAAGUAGAGGCAUACUAGUGACACUCUGUUUGUCUAUGUAUUCACACAUGUACUAAGUUUCCGGUUAAUACAAUUCUAGCAUGAAUAAUAAACAUUUAUCAUGAAAUAAGGAAAUAAAUAAGAACUUUAUUAUUGCCUCUAGGGCAUAUUUCCUUCAGUCUCUCACUUGCACUAGAGUCAAUAAUAUAGUUCACAUCGCCAUGUGAUCUAACACCAAUAGUUCACAUCACCAUGUGAUUAACACCCAUAGUUCAAAUCGUCAUGUGACCAACACCCAAAGGGUUUACUAGAGUCAAUAAUCUAGUUCACAUCGCUAUGUGAUUUAACACCCAAAGUGUACUAUGGUGUGAUCAUGUUUUGCUUGUGAGAGAAGUUUAGUCAACGGGUCUGCCACAUUCAGAUCCGUAUGUAUUUUGCAAAUUUCUAUGUCAACAAUGCUCUGCACGGAGCUACUCUAGCUAAUUGCUCCCACUUUCAAUAUGUAUCCAGAUUGAGACUUAGAGUCAUCUGGAUCAGUGUCAAAACUUGCAUCGACGCAACCCUUUACGACGAACCUUUUGUCACCUCCAUAAUCGAGAAACAUAUCCUUAUUCCACUAAGGAUAAUUUUGACCGAUGUCCAGUGAUCUACUCCUAGAUCACUAUUGUACUCCCUUGCCAAAAUCAGUGUAGGGUAUACAAUAGAUCUGGUACACAGCAUGGCAUACUUUAUAGAACCUAUGGCUGAGGCAUAGGGAAUGACUUUCAUUCUCUUUCUAUCUUCUGCCGUGGUCGGGCUUUGAGUCUUACUCAAUUUCGCUCCUUGUAACACAGGCAAGAACUCUUUCUUUGACUGUUCCAUUUUCAACUACUUCAAAAUCUUGUCAAGGUAUGUACUCAUUGAAAAAACUUAUCAAGCGUCUUGAUCUAUCUCUAUAGAUCUUGAUGCUCAAUAUGUAAGCAGCUUCACCGAGGUCUUUCUUUGAAAAACUCCUUUCAAACACUCCUUUAUGCUUUGCAGAAUAAUUCUACAUUAUUUCCGAUCAACAAUAUGUCAUUCACAUAUACUUAUCAGAAAUGGUGUAGUGCUCCCACUCACUUUCUUGUAAAUACAGGCUUCACCUCAAGUCUGUAUAAAACUAUAUGCUUUGAUCAAUUUAUCAAAGCGUACAUUCGAACUCCGAGAUGCUUUCCCUAGUCCAUAGAUGGAUCGCUGGAGCUUGCAUAUUUUGUUAGCACCUUUAGGAUUGACAAAACCUUCUUGUUGCAUCAUAUACAACUCUUCUUUAAUAAAUCCAUUAAGGAAUGCAGUUUUGUUUAUCCAUUUGCCAGAUUUCAUAAAAUGCGGCAAUUGCUAACAUGAUUCGGACAGACUUAAGCAUAGAUACGAAUGAGAAACUCUCAUCAUAGUCAACACCUUGAACUUGUCGAAAACCUUUUUGCAACAAUUCUAGAUUUUAGAUAGUAACACUACUAUCAGCGUCUGUCUUCCUCUUGAGGAUCCAUUUAAUCUCAAUGGCUCACCAAUCAUCGAGCAAGUCAAUCACAGUCCAUACUUUGUUCUCAUACAUGGAUCCCAUCUCAGAUUUCAUGGCCUCAAGCCAUUUUGCGGAAUCUGGGCUCAUCAUCGCUUCCUCAUAGUUCGUAGGUUCGUCAUGGUCAAGUAACAUGACCUCCAGAACAGGAUUACUGUACCACUCUGGUGCGAAUCUCACUCUGGUUUACCUACGAGGUUUGGUAGUAACUUGAUAUGAAGUUACAUGAUCACCAUCAUUAGCUUCCUCACUAGUUGGUGUAGUAGUCACAGGAACAGAUUUCUGUGAUGAACUACUUCCCAAUAAGGGAGCAGGUACAGUUACCUCAUCAAGUUCCACUUUCCUCCCACUCACUUCUUUCAAGAGAAACUCCUUCUCUAGAAAGGAUCCAUUCUUAGCAACGAAUAUCUUGCCUUCGGAUCUGUGAUAGAAGGUGUACCCAACUGUCUCCUUUGGGUAUCCUAUGAAGACACAUUUCUCCGAUUUGGGUUUGAGCUUAUCAGGAUGAAACCUUUUCUUAUAAGCAUCGCAACCCCAAACUUUUAGGAAAUGACAACCUUGGUUGCUUGACAAACCACAGUUCAUACGGUGUCGUCUCAACGGAUUUAGAUGGUGCCCUUUUUAACGUGAAUGCAGCUGUCUCUAAUGCAUAACCCCAAAAUUAUAGUGGUAAAUCGGUAAGAAACAUCAUAGAUUGCACUAUAUCCAAUAAAGUACGGUUAUAACGUUUGGACACACCAUUAUGCUGUGGUGUUCCAGGUGGCACGAAUUUGUGAAACUAUUCCACAUUGUUUUAAUUGAAGACCAAACUCCUAACCCAAAUAUUUGUCUCCGCGAUCAGAUCGUAGAAACUUUAUUUUCUUGUCACGAUGAUUUUCCACUUCACUCUGAAAUUCUUUGAACUUUUCAAAUGUUUCAGACUUAUGUUUCAUCAAGUAGAUAUACCCAUAUCUGCUCAAAUCAUCUGUGAAGGUCAGAAAAUAAUGAUACCCGCCGCGAGCCUCAACACUCAUCGGACCGCAUACAUCAGUAUGUAUUAUUUCCAGUAAGUCAGUUGCUUGCUCCAUUGUUCCGGAGAACGGCGUUUUAGUCAUCUUGCCCAAGAGGCAUGCUUCGCAAGCUUCAAGUGAUACGUAAUCAAGUGAUUCCAAAAGCCCAUCAGCAUGGAGUUUCUUCAUGCGCUUUACACCAAUAUGACCUAAACGGCAGUGCCAUAAAUAAGUUGCACUAUCAUUAUUAACUUUGCACCUUUUGGCUUCAAUAUUAUGAAUAUGUGUAUCACUACGAUCGAGAUCCAAUGAACCAUUUUCAUUGGGUGUGUAACCAUAUAAGGUUUUAUUCAUGUAAACAGAACAACAAUUAUUCUCUAACUUAAAUGAAUAACCGUAUUGCAAUAAACAUGAUCAAAUCAUAUUUAUGCUCAACGCAAACACCAAAUAACUCUUAUUUAGGUUCAACACUAAUCCCGAAAGUAUAGGGAGUGUGCGAUGAUGAUCAUAUCAAUCUUGGAACUACUUCCAACACACAUCGUCACCUCGCCCUUAACUAGUUUCUGUUCAUUUUGCAACUCCCGUUUCGAGUUACUAAUCUUAGCAACUGAACUAGUAUCAAAUACUGAGGGGUUGCUAUAAACACUAGUAAGGUACACAUCAAUAACAUGUAUAUCAAAUAUACUUUUGUUCACUUUACCAUCCUUCUUAUCCGCCAAAUACUUGGGGCAGUUCCGCUUCCAGUGACCAGUCCCUUUGCAGUAGAAGCACUCAGUUUCAGGCUUAGGUACAGACUUGGGCUUUUUCACUUGAGCAGCAACUUGCUUGUCCUUCUUCUUGAAGUUCCCUUUUCUUCCCUUUGUCCCUUUACUUGAAACUAGUGGUCUUGUUAACCAUCAACACUUGAUGCUCUUUCUUGAUUUCUACCUUCGUCGAUUUCAGCAUCGCGAAGAGCUCGGGAAUUACUUUCGUCAUCCCUUGAAUAUUAUAGUUCAUCAUGAAGUUCUAAUAACUUGGUGAUAGUGACUAGAGAAUUCUGUCAAUUACUAUCUUAUCUGGAAAAUUGACUCCCACUUGAUUCAAGCAAUUGUAGUACCCAGACAAUCUGAGCACAUGCUCAUUGGUUGAGCUAUUCUCCUCCAUCUUGUAGGCAAAGUACUGCCAGAGGUCUCAUACCUCUCGACACGGGCAUGAGUAUGAAAUACCAAUUUCAACUCUUGGAACAUCUUAUAUGCUCCGUGGCAUUCAAAACAUUUUUGAAGUCCCGGUUCUAAGCCGUAAAGCAUGGUGCACUUAACUAUCAAGUAGUCAUCACACCGAGCUUUUGUCAAAACGUUCAUAACGUCUGCAUCUGCUCCUGCAAUAGGUCUGUCACCUAGCGGUGCAUCAAGGACAUAAUACUUCUGUGCAGCAAUGAGGUUAAUCCUCAGAUCACGGACCAAGUCCGCAUCAUUGCUACUAACAUCUUUCAACUUAGUUUUCUCUAGGAACAUAUCAAAAUAAAACAGGGGAGCUAAACGCGAGCUAUUGAUCUACAACAUAGAUAUGCUAAUUCUACCAGGACUAAGUUCAUGAUAAAUUUAAGUUCAAUUAAUCAUAUUACUUAAGAACUCCCACUUAGAUAGACAUCCCUCUAAUCCUCUAAGUGAUCACGUGAUCCAAAUUAACUAAACCAUGUCCGAUCGUCACGUGAGAUGGAGUAGUUUCAAUGGUGAACAUCACUAUGUUGAUCAUAUCUACUAUAUGAUUCACGCUCGACCUUUCGGUCUCAGUGUUCCGAGGCCAUAUCUGCAUAUGCUAGGCUCGUCAAGUUUAACCUGAGUAUUCCGCGUGUGCAACUGUUUUGCACCCGUUGUAUUUGAACGUAGAGUCUAUCACACCCGAUCAUCACGUGGUGUCUCAGCACGAAGAACUUUUGCAACGGUGCAUACUCAGGGAGAACACUUAUACCUUGAUAAUUUAGUGAGAGAUCAUCUUAUAAUGCUACCAUCAAUCAAAGCAAGAUAAGAUGCAUAAAAGUUAAACAUCAGAUGCAAUCAAUAUAAGUGAUAUGAUAUGGCCAUCAUCAUCUUGUGCUUGUGAUCUCCAUCUUCGAAGCACCGUCAUGAUCACCAUCGUCACCGGCGCGACACCUUGAUCUCCAUCGUAGCAUCGUUGUCGUCUCGCCAACUUAUGCUUCUACGACUAUCGCUACCGCUUAGUGAUAAAGUAAAGCAUUACAGGGCGAUUGCAUUGCAUACAAUAAAGCGACAACUAUAUGGCUCCUGCCAGUUGCCGAUAACUCGGUUACAAAACAUGAUCAUCUCAUACAAUAAAAUAUAGCAUCAUGCCUUCACCAUAUCACAUCACAACAAGCCCUGCAAAAACAAGUUAGACGUUCUCUACUUUGUUGUUGCAAGUUUUACGUGGCUGCUACGGGCUGAGCAAGAACCGUUCUUACCUACGCAUCAAAACCACAAUGAUAGUUUGUCAAGUUAGUGCUAUUUUAACCUUCUCAAGGACCAGGCGUAGCCACACUCGGUUCAACUAAAGUUGGAGAAACUGACACCCGCCAGCCACCUGUGUGCAAAGCACGUCGGUAGAACCAGUCUCGCGUAAGCGUACGCGUAAUGUCGGUCCGGGCCGCUUCAUCCAACAAUACCGCCGAACCAAAGUAUGACAUGCUGGUAAGCAGUAUGACUUAUAUCGCCCACAACUCACUUGUGUUCUACUCGUGCAUAUAACAUCUACGCAUAAAACCUGGCUCGGAUGCCAUUGUUGGGGAACGUAGUAAUUUCAAAAUUUUCCUACACACAUGCAAGAUCAUGGUGAUGCACAGCAACGAGAGGGGAGAGUGUUGUCCACGUACCCUCGUAGACUGAAAGCGGAAGCGUUAGCACAACGUGGUUGAUGUAGUCGUACGUCUUCACGAUCCGACCGAUCCAAGUACCGAACGUACGACACCUCCGAGUUCAGCACACGUUCAGCUCGAUGACGUCCCUCGAACUCCGAUCCAGCUAAGCUUUGAGGGAGAGUUCCGUCAGCACGACGACGUGGUGAUGGUGAUGAUGAUGCUACCGACGCAGGGCUUCGCCUAAGCACCGCUACGAUAUUAUCGAGGUGAAAUAUUGUCACGCCCAAUAUGCGAUACUAUCCUAAAGAGACUCGAAGGUCCCACCAAGGAUAGAACCGCAUAUUGACACGCUUUUGCAAGGUGGAUAUCCUCACAUCAACAUUACAUAAUAGUUGGGGAUACAGACAAGAGGCAUACAAUGCCACAAGAAUACAUCAAUACAUCAUACAUAAGAUCAACAUCCGACUACGGAUGAAACACAAACAGAAACUCAACGACAUCCACCCUGCUAGCCCAGGCUGCCGACCUGGAUCCUAUCCCCUGAUCGAAGAAGAAGUAGAAGAAGAAGUCCAACACAAGUAACAUCGCUCUCGCGUCAUGAUCAUCGCAAAACCUGUACCUGCAACUGGUGUUGUGGUAAUCUGUGAGCCACGUGGACUCAGCAAUCCCAUUACCAUGGGUAUCAAGACUAGAAAAACUUAAUGGGAAAGGAAUGGAUAAGGUGCAGGUUGCAGCAGCGGCUAAGCAAGUAUGGUGGCUAACUUACGCAAAUAAGAGCGAGAAGAGAAGCAACGGAACGGUCGUGAACUAGUAAUGAUCAAGAAGUGAUCCUGAACUCCUACUUAAGUCAAACAUAACCCAUAAACCGUGUUCACUUCCCGGACUCCGCCGAGAAGAGACCAUCACGGCUACACACGCGAUUGAUGCAUUCUAUUUAAGGUCAAGUGUCAAGUUCUCUACAACCGGACAUUAACAAAUUCCCAUCUGCCACAUAACCGCGGGCACGGCUUUCGAAAGAUAAUACCCUGCCGGGGUGUCCCAACUUAGCCCAUUAUAAGCUCUCACGGUCAACGAAGGAUAUUCCUUCUCCCGGGAAGGCCCGAUCAGUCUCGGAAUCCCGGUUACAAGACAUUUUGACAAUGGUAAAACAAGACCAGCAAAGCUGCCCGAAUGUGCCGACGAAUCCUGAUAGGAGCUGCACAUAUCUCGUUCUCAGGGCACACCGGAUUGUCCAAGCUUCCGGUAGGCCAGCCCAGAGUUGCCCCUGGUGGCCACCGGCGACUGACAGGUUGGACCAACACUCGAAGGAGUACUGGCCCGGGGGGUAAAUAAAGAUGACCCUCGAGAGCGCGACUCCCAAGGGAAAAGGGCUAGGUGAGGCAAAUGUAAAACCAAGGUUGGGCCUUGCUGGAAGAGUUUUAUUCAAAGCGAACUGUCAAGGGGGUCCCAUAAAUCACACAACCGCGUAAGGGACGCAAAAAUCAAGGAACAUAACACCGGUAUGACGGAAACUAGGGCGGCAAGAGUGGAACAAAACACCAGACAUAAGGUCGAGCCUUCCACCCUUUACCAAGUAUAUAGAUGCAUUAAUUAAAUAAGAGAUAUUGUGAUAUCCCAACAUAAACAUAAUCCAACAUGGAGCAAUCUUCAUCUUCACCUGCAACUAGCAACGCUAUAAGAGGGGCUGAGCAAAGCGGUAACAUAGCCAAACAAUGAUUUGCUAGGAAGGGUGACAAAGGUUAGAGGUUCAUGGCAAUUUGGGAGGCUUGAAGAGCAAGUGAAUAGGUAGCGCAACAUAGCGAUAGAACGAAGCAACUAGCAUAGCACUGAUAGUAAUGAGAUCCAAGGUGACGGUCAUCUUGCCUGAAAUCCCGCUAGGAAGAAGAACGAGUCCAUGAAGAAGAUGAAGCCACGAAGACGAACGAAUCCUCACGAUCGCAACGACACGGGAACUAUCGAGAAGAAGCACACAACAUGGUAAACACAUCACACAUGAACAAGGCAUGAUGCUCAAUCAAGUAUGAUGCAUGACAAGGCUACAUGAAGCUACACACGGCAAGAGAUGAUGCAUACAAGAACAACACAUCAAAGCAAGUUUAAAUAAGGCCGGAAACAACAUAUAACAAAUCCGGUAAGUCCUCAUAUGCAAAUUUCGAAAUUGGUCCAGAUCUGAAUAAACCUUAUGUUCAAGUUGUUAAACAGAAAGUUAAAAUGCACCAAAAUGAUCUACACGAAAUGCUAGUCAAGUUAUAUAUAAAGUUCAUUAGAUUCGGAGCUACGGCCUAGAAGAUAUGAGCAAAACAAGUUAAGCAUGGCAUUGGUGCAAAAUGCAUUUAAACAUCAAACAAACACACUCAAGGCAUGGAUGCAACAUGAUAAUAUGAAACUACAUGCAAUUCUAAGCAAGUUUCAUAUAGAGCAUGCUCAAAACGGAGCAACGGUGCAACACAUACACUCCAAACAAGAUAUAACAACAAUCUGUCCAAAACAGCAACUAGACAUCUUGCAAGCAACAAAACAAUAUGCUACAGCACCUCAACAUAAAAACAAAAGGCAUGUACAUGAUGUACAGGUAAAUCAUGACAAAACAUGAACACUGAGCUAUCUUCAUAAAUCACUAGAACAUGCUCAAAAGGACAUGGCAAGAUUGCAAAUAAUAACAGUUUCACAGACUUGGCAGAAAUUACUGGACAUGGCAGAAAAAACAUCAGGUUGCAAAGUUUGGAGCUAUUCAACAACAUGCUACAGGAACAUAUCAUAGAAAACAAAGGCAUGGAAUGAAUCUACUAAUUGCCUAGAACAAAAGUCUCUUACUGAUCACGAGCCAAAAAGGCACAGAAGAUAUGAUGGCACCAAUGUAAACAUAGCAAGUAAUAUGACAGAUUCAGACAGUGAAAAUAACAGUUCAUGGCAGAAACAACGAUAAGUAGGCAUGUUGGUGAGCUUGAACCACUCACCACAGAGCAAUACAUGGCAUGUGAAGGAAUCCAACAAUAAGAAGGCAUAAAUAUGAAGCUAAGCAUGGCAAGAGAAUAGUCAUAGGGUGCAUGGAUCACUGGUAACCACCAUGGCAAAAUUGAUUAACAUGUAAACAAUCUGCCAGGAACAUUUUAUAGCAAAAGUAGAGCAAGAUUAAGACAUGUUAGAGCACUCCAUAAUUGCAAACAUGGGCAUGGAUGGAUAUAGCAUAACAUGUGUAACAAAACAUCCUUAGUGAACAUCUCCAGAUUAUGCAUAGAACUCAUGGAGACAGCAGGUUUAAAUAGCAACAAAAUAUAACAGAUUCAGACUUAGCAGAAAUGACUAAGUCACAGAAAUCAGCAACAUCACGGAGGCUAUUUUGCAUGCUUGUGCUAGUCACCACAUAGAUCCUAAAAAUACAAGACUAGCACCACUGUAAGGAUGGCAUGAUGUAGUUCAAAACACAUGUAGACAUCAAGCUCAUAGGAUGCACACACAAAAUGCAAUGAAAAAGACAAUUCACCAAGUUCUGUAAACAGACAGCAGUUAACAGCAUAUAGCACUCGUGCAACGAUGAUUAGAACAUCAAGAUGGACUCAAACAAGAAUGGCACAAUGGAACAAAAUUGAGAGCACAUCAUGAUGAACAUUUUGAUAUAUCAUAUGCACAAAUCGGAGCACCGAGCAUGUAGAUAUGGCAUGUCAAAGGUGUACACAUAAUAUGCAAAAUCUGGGACUUUGCGGAAAAAAACAGGCACAGUGAGCGCAAAAUAACUAAGCGGCGCUCAGGGCGGGGGAUAGCCGGGCUUCUCACCAGCGUGGCCUUGGGCCGGAGAGAGGCGGAGCUGGGCUGGGUUGGGCCGGAUGCGGGGCCCACGCGGAGGCCACACGCGGUCGAUGCAGCGGCGGAUCGGGGCUCCUCCCGAUCGGCCAUGGCAGCGACGGCGACGGAGCUCGACGGAGGCGGCGGGGGAGGACAGGGACGGGUGUGGGGCGGCGGAUCUGGCCGUCCCCCGGCCGGAUCUGGCCGAAGACGGGGCCGGCGGCGAGCUGGGAGGCGGAGGGACGUGGCGGAGCUCGGCUCCCAUGGCGGCGGGGACCUGCAGGGGAGAGAGAGACGGGGUCAGGAGAGAGAGGAGGAAGCCGGACGGGGCGGCGCGACCUGGCGGGGCGGCGACGACGCUCACCGGCGGCGGCGUCGAGGCACGACGCGGAGCGGCGACUCGGGGACGAAGCCNNNNNNNNNNNNNNNNNNNNNNNNNNNNNNNNNNNNNNNNNNNNNNNNNNNNNNNNNNNNNNNNNNNNNNNNNNNNNNNNNNNNNNNNNNNNNNNNNNNNNNNNNNNNNNNNNNNNNNNNNNNNNNNNNNNNNNNNNNNNNNNNNNNNNNNNNNNNNNNNNNNNNNNNNNNNNNNNNNNNNNNNNNNNNNNNNNNNNNNNNNNNNNNNNNNNNNNNNNNNNNNNNNNNNNNNNNNNNNNNNNNNNNNNNNNNNNNNNNNNNNNNNNNNNNNNNNNNNNNNNNNNNNNNNNNNNNNNNNNNNNNNNNNNNNNNNNNNNNNNNNNNNNNNNNNNNNNNNNNNNNNNNNNNNNNNNNNNNNNNNNNNNNNNNNNNNNNNNNNNNNNNNNNNNNNNNNNNNNNNNNNNNNNNNNNNNNNNNNNNNNNNNNNNNNNNNNNNNNNNNNNNNNNNNNNNNNNNNNNNNNNNNNNNNNNNNNNNNNNNNNNNNNNNNNNNNNNNNNNNNNNNNNNNNNNNNNNNNNNNNNNNNNNNNNNNNNNNNNNNNNNNNNNNNNNNNNNNNNNNNNNNNNNNNNNNNNNNNNNNNNNNNNNNNNNNNNNNNNNNNNNNNNNNNNNNNNNNNNNNNNNNNNNNNNNNNNNNNNNNNNNNNNNNNNNNNNNNNNNNNNNNNNNNNNNNNNNNNNNNNNNNNNNNNNNNNNNNNNNNNNNNNCCGAGGUGGGAGGAGGCGACUGCGGGUUGGGUGGCGCGGAAAAAGAGGAGGUGGCGGCGGGGAGGGGGGGUUGCCCAAAAUGGAGAGGGGGUGCCCAUUUAUAGCAGGUAGGCUAGGUUAGGGGGGUUUUGGGGCUUUCGGAGCCCUCCGAUCGCGAUCGUGCGGCUCCGGACAGAGGGGGAACUAGGUGGGCUACAGUGGGCUGUGCUAGAAAGGCCAAGGGCUGCAGGAUAGAAGAGAGAGAGAGGCCCGGCGGCAGUUUCCGGAGACCGAAAACGUCCGACGUUUGCCCGACGAAAGUGCCGCUAUAAGUUUAACGGUUGGGCUAUCAAAAGGACUCCGAAUGCGACGAAACUUGACAGGCGGCCUACCUACACUAUAAUAAGACCGCACGCCAACUUUCAUCCCAUUCCGAGAACGUUUUUCUCCCGCUCACGAAACAAGGUCUGGGAGGGGUGACGGGCGCGGCGAGAGUGUCAGAACGCGAAACGGACAACGGGGAAAAAGGCCGGAUGCAAGUUUUGAAAAACAUGAUGAUGCAAUGCAGAUGAUGACAUGGCAAAGUGCAACACGCAAGCGAAUGACAUGGCAACGGCGGCGAAUAACUGGAUGGCACCUGGCGCAUCAGAUCCGGGGCGUUACAAAUAUGGUGGAGGGGGGCACCGCACACGGCUAAAAGAUCCAGAGAUCAAUUGUUGUGUCUAUGGGGUGCCCCCUGGCCACGUAUAUAAAGGAGUGGAGGAGGGGAGGGGCCGGCCCUCUCUAUGGCGCGCCCUGGGGAGUCCUACUCCCACCGGGAGUAGGAUUCCCCCCCCCCCUUUCAAGUAGUAGGAGUAGGAGAGAAGGAAAGGGAAAAGAGAAGAGAAGGAAGGAGGGGGCGCCGCCCCUCCCCCUAGUCCAAUUCGGACUAAGCAUUAGGUGGCGCGCAGCCUCCCCUCUCUCUUUCCCCUAAAGCCCAAUAAGGCCCAUAUACUCCCCGGCGAAUUCCCGUAACUCUCCGGUACUCCGAAAAAUACCCGAAUCACUCGGAACCUUUCCGUUGUCCGAAUAUAGUCGUCCAAUAUAUCGAUCUUUACGUCUCGACCAUUUCGAGACUCCUCGUCAUGUCCCCGAUCUCAUCCGGGACUCCGAACUACCUUCGGUACAUCAAAACACAUAAACUCAUAAUACAAAUCGUCACCGAACGUUAAGCGUGCGGACCCUACGGGUUCGAGAACUAUGUAGACAUGACCGAGACACGUCUCCGGUCAAUAACCAAUAGCGGAACCUGGAUGCUCAUAUAGACUCCUACAUAUUCUACGAAGAUCUUUAUCGGUCAAACCGCAUAACAACAUACGUUGUUCCCUUUGUCAUCGGUAUGUUACUUGCCCGAGAUUCGAUCGUCGGUAUCUCAAUACCUAGUUCAAUCUCGUUACCGGCAAGUCUCUUUACUUGUUCCGUAAUACAUCAUCCCGCAACUAACUCAUUACUUACAAUGCUUGCAAGGCUUAAGUGAUGUGCAUUACCGAGUGGGCCCAGAGAUACCUCUUCGACGAUCGAAGUGACAAAUCCUAAUCUCGAAAUACGCCAACUCAACAAGUAACUUCGGAGACACCUGUAGAGCACCUUUAUAAUCACCCAGUUACGUUGUGACGUUUGGUAGCACACACAGUGUUCCUCCGGUAAACGGGAGUUGCAUAAUCUCAUAGUCAUAGGAACAUGUAUAAGUCAUGAAGAAAGCAAUAGCAAUAUACUAAACGGUCAAAUGCUAAGCUAACGGAAUGGGUCAAGUCAGUCACAUCAUUCUCUAAUGAUGUGAUCCCGUUAAUCAAAUGACAACUCAUGUCUAUGGCUAGGAAACUUAACCAUCUUUGAUUCAACGAGCUAGUCAAGUAGAGGCAUACUAGUGACACUCUGUUUGUCUAUGUAUUCACACAUGUACUAAGUUUCCGGUUAAUACAAUUCUAGCAUGAAUAAUAAACAUUUAUCAUGAAAUAAGGAAAUAAAUAAUAACUUUAUUAUUGCCUCUAGGGCAUAUUUCCUUCAUUCUACAUCAUCCUUGCUGCCUUUUGAUAAUGCGUGAGUAGUUCACCACAAACCUUCCGAUGAACCGAUAGUGUAACGAUGAUCCUAAAACAACAUGGAGAUUAUGACGUUGUUAGAAUGAUCAUAUUGAACUAAUCCAAAUUUGUUUGUUGUGAAUUGGAUUAAUAUCGUCUGUAUUCAAUUAUAAUAACAUGGAGCGUUAACAUGUGUCAUUGCUCCUUAGACCAUGAGAGUAUCAUAGUCACUUCUUGCCGUACGAUGGGCUUUGGGGUUUCUCAAACGUCACCUGUAACACGGUGAUCAUAACGACAACCUACAGGUUCAUCGGAAAGUUUGACAAGUGGCCGGAUAGCUCGAGAGUGGGAUUUGCUCCUCCGAUGACGCAGAGAUAUUAUUAGGGCCCUCUCAGUGUCACUGCAUAAAUCGUCGUCUAGCGAGACACACGUGACUUCGUCACGGGAUGCCGGAACACAAUAACGAGAAAGAAGAACAAAACUGGUAACAAGGAUUUCGGUAUACUGAGUAUGGUGAUGCGGCUUGAACUACGCCGGUAUUUCCCCAAAGAGGAAGGGAUGAUGCAGCACAGCUAUGGUAGGUAUUUCCCUCAGUGAUGAGACCAAGGUUAUCGAACCAGUAGGAGAACCACGCAACACCACGUGAAUGGCUCCUGCACACAAAGAACAAAUACUUGCAACCUGAUGUAAGAGAGGGGUCGUCAAUCCCUCACGGGUAAAAAGAUAGGUAAAACUAUAGUAGAUUGGAUAAAUAGAUCUCGCGGGUUGAUAACCCACAAGUAUAGGGGAUCGCAACCGUUUUCGAGUGUAGAGUAUUCAACCCAAAUUUAUUAAUUCGACACAAGGGGAGCCAAAGAAUAUUCUCAAGUAUUAGCAGCUCUGUUGUCAAUUCAACCACACCUGAAAGACUUAAUAUAUGCAGCAAAGUAUUUAGUAGCAAACUAGUGUGGAAGUAAAGGUAAUGGUGGCAAAAGUAACACUAGCAGUUUUGUAGCAAUUGUAAUAGUGGCAAUGGCAAAGUAACGUAGCAAAGAUCAAUAUGUGAAGAGCUCAUAGGUAAUGGAUCAAUGAUGGAUAAUUAUGUCGGAUGGCAUUCAUCAUGCAACAGUUAUAACCUAGGAUGACAUAGAACUAGCUCCAAUUCAUCAAUAUAAUGUAGGCAUGUAUUCCGAAUAUAGUCAUACGUGCUUAUGGAAAAGAACUUGCAUGACAUCUUUUGUCCUACCCUCCCGUGGCAGUGGGGUCCUAAUGGAAACUAAGGGAUAUUAAGGCCUCCUUUUAAUAGAGAACCAGACCAAAGCAUUAGCACUUAGUGAAUACAUGAACUCCUCAAACUACGGUCAUCACCGGGAAGUGCCCCGACUAUUGUCACUCCGGGGUCACCGGAUCAUAACGCGUAGUAGGUGACUAUAACUUGCAAGAUAGGAUCAAGAACACAAAUAUAUUCAUGAAAACAUAAUAGGUUCAGAUAUGAAAUCAUGGCACUCGGGCCCUAGUGACAAGCAUUAAGCAUAGCAAAGUCAUAGCAAAAUCAAUCUCAGAACAUAGUGGAUACUAGGGAUCAACCCCUAACAAAACUAACUCGAUUACAUGAUAAAUCUCAUCCAACCCAUCACCGUCCAGCAAGCCUACGAUGGAAUUACUCACGCAUGGCGGUGAGCAUCAUGAAAUUGGUGAUCGAGGAUGGUUGAUGAUGACGAUGGCGACGAUUUCCCCUCUCCGGAGCCCAAAACGGACUCCAGAUCUGCCCUCCCGAGGAAGAACAGGAGGUGGCGGCGGCUCCGUAUUGUAAAACGUGAUGAAUCCUUCUCUCUGAUUUUUUCUCCCCGAACGUGAAUAUAUGGAGUUGGAGUUGAGGUCGGUGGAGGUCCAGAGGACCCACAAGGCAGGGGGCACACCCUAGGGGGGAUGCCCUCCACCCUUGUGGACAGCAGGUGGGUCCCCCUCAGUUGAUUCUUUCGCCAAUAUUUUUUAUUUAUUCCAAAAAUAUUCUCCGUGAAGUUUCAGGUCAUUCCGAGAACUUUUAUUUCUGCACAAAAAUAACACCAUGGCAAUUCUGCUGAAAACUGCGUCAGUCCGGGUUAGUUCCAUUCAAAUCAUGCAAAUUAAAGUCCAAAACAAGGGCAAAAGAGUUUGGAAAAGUAGAUACGAUGGAGACGUAUCAACUCCCCCAAGCUUAACCCAUUGCUUGUCCUCAAGCAAUUUAGUUGCCAAACUGAAAGUGAUAAAGAAAAACUUUUACAAACUCUGUUUGAUCUUGUUGUUGCAAAUAUGUAAAGCCAGCAUUCAGGUUUUCAGCAAAGAUUAUGAACUAACCAUAUUCACACUAACAUUUAGGUCUCACAUUUACUCAUAUCAAUGGCAUAAUCAACUAGCGAGCAAUGAUAAUAAAUAUCGGAUGACAACACUUUUUCAAAACAAUCAUGAUAUGAUAUAACAAGAUGGUAUCUCGCUAGCCCUUUCUGAGACCGCAAAACAUAAAUGCAGAGCACCCCUGAAGAUGUAGGACUGACUAGACAUUGCAAUUCAUGGCAAAAUAGAUCCAGUCACAGUCAUACUCAAUAUCGAUUAAUAACAACGCAUACAAAUGGCAGUAGUGCUCUCUAACUGGUGCUUUUUAUAAGAGGAUGAUGACUCAGCAAUAAAAGUAAAUAGAUAGGCCCUUCGCAGAGGGAAGCAGGGAUUUGCAGAGGUGCCAGAGCUCGAGCUUUAAAACAGAGAUGAAUAAUAUUUUGAGCGGUAUGCUUUCAUUGUCAACAUAUCAACCAAGAUAUCUCGGUAUCUUCCAUACUAAAUACAUUAUAGGAGGUUCCCAAACAUAAUGGUAAAUUUUAUGCUCCCCCACCACCAACAAGCACAUUCCACGGUUGGUCCGAAACAACGGGUACCGUCCAACUAACAACAAUCCUGGGGGAGUUUUGUUUGAAGUUAUAAUUUGAUUUGAUUUGAGCAUGGAACUGGGCAUCCCGGUUACCAGCCAUUUUCUCGUGAAUGAUGAGCGGAGUCCACUCAUCGUGAGAAUAACCCACCUAGCAUGGAAGAUACUGACAGCCCCCAGUGGCUACCUGAGCGAUUCGGGCAUACAAAACAAAUUAUUAUUUGAAGGUUUAGAGUUUGGCACAUGCAAAUUUACUUGGAAUGGCAGGUAAAUACCGCAUAUAGGUAGGUAUGGUGGACUCAUAUGGAACAACUUUGGGUUUAUGGAGAUGGAUGCACAAGCAGUAUUCCCGCUUAGUACAAUUGAAGGCUAGCAAGGGAAUGAGGAGCGACCAACUAGAGAGCGACAACAGUCAUAAACAUGCACUGAGAUUAACCAACAUUGAGUGCAAGCAUGAGUAGGAUAUAAAUCACCAUGAACAUAAAUAUCGUGGAGGCUAUGUUGAUUUCGUUUCAACUACAUGCGUGAACAUGUGCCAAGUCAAGCCACUCGAAUCAUUCAAAGGAGGAUACCAUCCUAUCAUACUACAUCACAACCAUUUUAAAAGCAUGUUGGCACGCAAGGUAAACCAUUAUAAGCUCCUAGCUAAUUAAGCAUGGCAUGAGUAACUAUAAUCUCUAAUUGUCAUUGCAAACAUGUUUCAUUCAUAAUAGGCUGGAUCAAGAACGAUGAACUAAUCAUAUUUACAAAAACAAGAUAGGUCGAGUUCAUACCAGCUUUUCCUCAUCUCAAUCAUUUCAUCAUAUAUCGUCAUUAUUGCCUUUCACUCACACGACCGAACGGUGUGGAUAAUAAUAAUAAUGCAUGUGCAUUGGACUAAGCUGGAAUCUGCAAACAUUUAAUCAAAGGAGAAGGCAAGGUAAUAUGGGCUCUUUGUUAGAUCAACAAUAGUGCAUAUGAGAGCCACUCAACAUUUUCAUCGUGGUCUUCUCCUCUCGACCCCAAAGAAAAGAAACGAAUUUCAAAGAAACACACUGAAAUGUUUUUGGAGUUUUUGUUUUUCUGAAGAAAGUAAAACAAGAACGAGAAAAAACUAUUUACACGGGAAAGCUCCCAACAAGCAAAAGAAGAACGAGAAAUCUUUUUGGGUUUUAUUUUAAUACUACUACUAAAUAAACAUGGAAAGGAAAUAAGCUACAACUAAUUUUUUUGUUUCUUCUUAAGGUUUUUCAAACACACAAGAAGAAAGCAGGAAAAAAAAAUAAACUAACAUGGAUAAUACAAUGAAAAAGUAUGAACACCGACAACUGGAAUGAGUGUGUGAACAUGAAUAUAAUGUCAGUGAGAAAUACGUACUCCCCCAAGCUUAGGCUUUUGGCCUAAGUUGUCUAGGGCCACGACUCGCCCGGAUUGUAUCCAAAAUCGUAGUUGGGGUUGUACUGUGCCGCGGCAGCUACCGCUUGGCGAGCUGCUUCAUGGAGGCGAGCGGCCUCCUCUGCUCUCUCAUACUCUUUUGCCUCCUCUCUAGUUAUAAAAAUAUCUCUCAUUUACCUAAAAGUUAAAGAAGGCAGGAGCAGGAAGGGUAAUAUGGAAAGCACGCCGUUUGUCAAAGAUUAGUCGGUAUUGGAGGGACUGUUCAUUCCUCUCAAGAAACUGGUAGCAUACCAUAGCAUUAUAAUCUAGAAAAGCAUGCGGUAACUCACUGUCAUUCCCCCUUAUGUGUAUUCCAAGAUAAUUAGCUAAACGAGUUGCAUAAAUCCCACCAAAUAAAUCUCCAUCUUUAGCAUUAAGGUGUAACCUCCUCGCAAUAAUAGCCCCCAAGUUAUAUCGCUUGUCACCUAACACCGCACACUUGAGGACACUAAGAGCUGGAACGCAAAGGUGGCUAUGCUCAUGCUUAGCGUUAAUGCAUCUACCUAUAAAGAGAGCAAAAUAAUGUAUGGCAGGAAAGUGAAUGCUUCCUAUGGUAGCUUGUGUGAUAUUUCUAGUUUCUCCCACAGUAAUUCUAGCAAGGAAAUCAUUGUAUUCAGCUUUGUGAGGCUCAUUAUGAAUGCCCCAUUGUGAGAUUUUGCAUGCAGUAUUAAAAUCUUCAAGGUCCAUGGUAUAUGAUUCAUCAUAAAGAUCAAAUAAAACAGUACGGGUAUUGCGCUUAGAUGUAAAUUCAAACCUCCGCACAAAGGAAUCGGUGAGGUGAUAGUACUGAGGACACUUAUCUGAUACGAAGUCCUCAAGAUUAGCAUUUCAUACGUACGCAUCAAAUUCCUCUUUGAAACUUGCAUGAACCAUAAAUUGAUCCAAUGGCCAUUUGCAAGGCCGUACUUGAGCUUCCCUUGGUGGUUCAAGGUCCGGCUCACGUAUCACUAGCCUCGGUGCUUGCUUCCUCGAGGAACCACCUUGGUACAUUUUCCUAAACAUUUUUCUUCCUGUGAAAAUUUCUGAAAUUUUUAGUGACUCAGAAUAAAAGUGAACCAAACUCAACAAAAUUGAUAGCAACUACUCCUACAAGUGUCUAGAGGCUAUGUCAUGCAUCAAAACUACUUUGUACCAUAUAAAUUUGACAUGCAAGCUCAAGAACAACGUCACCACAGCAACGAAAAUUUGCAAUAAAUAAAGCACUAGAACAAAAACUAAUUGGACCAUUGGAGGAGUCACAUACCGAAGAACAAUCCCCCAAAACAGUUUUGCAAAUGGAGCUUUGCACAAGGAGAUCGAAAAUGGCAGCAAGAUGAGCAAGAACACGGGUUUGAGCAAUGGGAUGAUUUUUUCUGGAGGAAGACGAAGUGGAUGGGUGCUGCAAUAAGUGAGAGGGGCCUACGUGGGACCCACAAGGCAGGGGGUGUGCCCUCCACCCUUGUGGCCCACUGGUGCAGCACCCUGGUGCAUGUUCAGUGCCAGAAAUUCUAAAAUGUUCUAUAAAAAAUCAUACUAAAUUUUCAAGGCAUUUGGAGAACUUUUAUUUUCGGGGAAUUUUUUAUUGCAUGGAUAAUUCAGAAAAUAGACAGAUAAUACUAUUUUUGCUUUAUUUAAUCUAGAUAACAAAAAGUAAAAAGUAGGUACAGAAAGUUGUGCUUUCUAAAUUCAUCCAUCUCAUGCUCAUCAAAAGGAAUCCAUUAACAAGGUUGAUCAAGUCUUAUUAACAAACUUCUUCCAAAUGACAUGAACCCGAAGAACUUUCGAAUAACACUAGGUUACCUCAACGGGGAUAUGUAUGUCCCCAACAAUAAGAAUGUCGUAUUUGUUUUUGACAGUAGGAAGAGGGAAUUCAGAACCUCCAAUAGUAAUAGUUGAAAUUUUUCCAAUAGAAUUGAUACUAUGAACUUGAGGUUGUUUCUUCGGAAAGUGUACCGUAUGCUCAUUACCAUUAACAUGAAAAGUGACAUUACCUUUGUUGCAAUCAAUAAUAGCCCCUGCAGUAUUCAAAAAGGGUCUACCAAGGAUGAUCGACAUAGUGUCGUCCUCGGGAAUAUCAAGAAUAACGAAGUUCGUUAAGAUAGUAAUGUUUGCAACCACAACAGGCACAUCAUCACAAAUACCGAUGGGUAUAGCAGUUGCUUUAUCAGCCAUUUGCAAAGAGAUUUCAGUAGGUAACUUAUUCAAUUCAAGUCUACGAUACAAAGAGAAAGGCAUAACACUAACACCGGCUCCAAGAUCACAUAAAGCAGUUUUAACAUAAUUUCUUUUAAUGGAGCAUUGUAUAGUUGGUACUCCUGGAUCUCCUAGUUCUUUAGUAUUCCACCCUUAAAAGUAUAAUUAGCAAGCAUGGUGGAAAUUUCAGCUUCCGAUAUCCUCCUUUUAUUAGUAACAAUAUCUUUCAUAUACUUAGCAUAAGGAGACAUUUUCAGCAUAUCAGUCAAACGCAUACACAAAAAGAUAGGUCUAAUCAUUUCAGCAAAGCGCUCAAAAUCCUCAUCAUCCUUUUUCUUGGAUGGUUUAGGAGGAAAGGGCAUGGGUUUCUGAACCCAUGGUUCUCUGUCUUUACCAUGUUUCCUAGCAAUGAAGUCUCUCUUAUCAUAAUGUUGAUUCUUUGAUUAUGCAUUAUCAAGAUCAACAGCAUGUUCAAUCUCUACAUCAUUAUCAUUACUAGGUUGAGCAUAAACAUGAAAAUCAUCAUUAACAUUAUCACUAGGUUCAUGUUCAUCACCAGAUUGUGUCUCAACAUCAGAAAUAGAAAUAUCAUUGGGAUUCUCAGGUGUAUCUAUAACAGGUUCACUAGAAGCAUGCAAAGUCCUAUCAGUUUUCUUUUUCUUUUUAUCACUAGGACUAGGUGUGUUAGUAUUAAUUCUCUGAGAAUCUUGCUCAACUCUCUUAGGAUGGCCCUUAGGAUACAAAGGUUCCUGGGUCAUUUUACCACCUCUAGUCAUAACUCUAACAACAUUAUCAUUGUUCUUGCUAUCCAUCUCAUUGAGCAAAUCAUCUUGUGCCUUAAGUACUUGUUCUACUUGAGUUUUAACCAUGGAAGCGUGCUUACUAAUAAGCUUAAGAUCAUUAACAGUUCUACUCAUAUAAUCACCCAGCAGUCAAGCAUGUGUGCAUUAUGUUUCAAUUGUCUACUAACAUAAGCAUUGAAAUUUUGUUGUUUAACAAUAAAAUUAUCAAACUCAUCCAAGUAUUGACUAGCAGACUUAUUAUGAGGAAUAUUAACUUCAUCAAAUCUAUAAAGAGAGUUUACCUCUACUACCUGUGUCGGGUUAUCAAGACCAUGUAUUUCUUCAAUAGGCGGUAGAUUCUUAACAUCUUCAGAUUUAAUACCUUUUUCCUUCAUAGAUUUCUUUGCCUCUUGCACAUCUUCAGGACUGAGAAAUAGAAUACCUCUUUUCUUCGGAGUUGGUUCCGGAAGUGUCCAAUCAUUAUCAUACUCAAUAUAUUAUUCAAUAGCAAUUCAGCUUGCUCAACAGUUCGUUCCCUGGAAACACAACCAGCACAACUAUCUAGGUGGUCCCUAGAAGCAUCGGUUAGUCCAUUAUAAAAGAUAUCAAGUAUUUCAUUUUUCUUGAGAGGAUGAUCAGGCAAAGCAUUAAGUAAUUGGAGAAGCCUCCCCCAAGCUUGCGGGAGACUCUGUUCUUCAAUUUGCACAAAGUUAAAAAUUUCCUUUAAAGAAGCUUGUUUCUUAUGAGCAGGGAAAUAUUUUUCAGAGAAGUAGUAAAUCAUAUCCUGGGGACUACGCACACAACCAGGAGCAAGAGAAUUAAACCAUAACUUAGCAUCACCCUUUCACGAGAAAGGAAACAACUUAAGAAUAUAGUAAUAGCGAAUUUUUUCCUCAUGAGCAAAUAGGGUGGCUAUAUCAUUCAAUUUAGUAAGAUGUGCCACAACAGUUUCAGAUUCAUAACCAUAGAAAGGAACAGAUUCAACCAAAGUAAUUAACUCGGGAUCGACAGAGAAUUCAUAAUCCUUAUCAGUAAUAGAGAUAGGUGAAGUAGCAAACUUUGGAUCAUAUUGCAUUCUAGCAUUCAAAGCCUUUUCUUUUAGCUUAGCUAAUAAUUUCUUAAGAUCAUUUCUAUCAUUACAGGCAAAAAAGUCUCUAGCAGUUUCUUCAUCCAUAAUAUAACCCUCAGGUUGAAGGAAAUAUGCCCUAGAGGCAAUAAUAAAGUUGUUAUUUUAUAUUUCCUUAUUCAUGAUAAAUGUUUAUUAUUCAUGCUAGAAUUGUAUUGAUCGGAAACCUAAAUACAUGUGUGAAUACAUAGACAAACAUUGUGUCCCUAGUGAGCCUCUACUUGCCUAGCUUGUUGAUCAAAGAUGGUUAAGGGAGUUUCCUGACCAUGGACAUGAGUUGUCAUUUGAUAACGAGAUCACAUCAUUAGGAGAAUGAUGUGAUAGACAAGACCCGUUCGGUAGCUUAGCAUAAUGAUCGUUCAGUUUUAUUUCUAUUGCUUUCUUCAUGUCAAAUACAUAUUCCUUCGACUAUGAGAUUAUGCAACUCCCAGAUACCGGAGGAAUGCCUUGUGUGCUAUCAAACGUCACAACGUAACUGGGUGAUUAUAAAGAUGCUCUACAGGUAUCUCCGAAGGUGUUUGUUGGGUUGGCAUAGAUCGAGAUUAGGAUUUGUCACUCCGAGUAUCGGAGAGGUAUCUCCGGGCCCUCUCGGUAAUGCAUAUCAUAAGAAGCCUUGCAAGCAAAGUGACUAAUGAGUUAGUUACAAGAUUAUGUAUUACGGAACAAGUAAAGAGACUUGCCAGUAACGAGAUUGAACUAGGUAUGUGGAUACCGACGAUCGAAUCUCGGGCAAGUAACAUACCGAUGACAAAGGGAAUAACACAUGUUGUCAUAACGGUUCGACCGAUAGAGAUCUUCGUAGAAUAUGUGGGAGCCAAUAUGAGAAUCCAGGUUCCGCUAUUCGUUACUGACCGGAGAGGUGUCUCCAUCAUGUCUACAUAGUUCUCGAACCCGAAGGGUCCGCACGCUUAACGUUCGAUGACGAUUUAGUAUUAUAUGAGUUAUGUGAUUUGGUAAGUGAAUGUUGUUCAGAGUCCCAGAUGAGAUCACGGACAUGAUGAGGAGUCUCUAAAUGGUCGAGAGGUAAAGAUUGAUAUAUAGGACGAUGGUAUUCGGACACCGGAAGUGUUCCGGAGGGUAUCGGGUACUUAUCGGGUCACUGGAAGGUGUUUCGGGUACCCCCGGCAAUCCUAUGGGCCAUAUGGGCCUUCUGAAGGAACACACUAGCCCACAAGGGGUUGGGGCGCCCUAUAAGGCUAUAGGAGGAGGAGAAGGAAAGGGGGGAAGGGAAAGGAAAGUGUGGAUUAGGAUUCCACUUCCUUCCCUCACCCCCCUCUUUGCUUCCCCUUCAUGCAUACAUGGAAAGGGGGGCGCAGGGCAAGGCAGGGCCCCUAGUAGGCAGCGGCCAACCCUAGGGUGCCCCUUGGCUGCCUCCCCUCUCCCCCACAUAUAUAUAUGGGAUAUUUAAAUUAGUGCCCCUGGUUCCUUAGUUGUGCUCACUUUUCCCCAUGCUCCAAACUUUUGCUCACUUUUCCCCUCUUCCUUAGCUGAAACUCUCACAAAUGGUCAUAGCGGGCGUUUGCCAUCUAGACCGUCCAUUGACCGUUAAUUGCUGACGAGUGGGGCCGAGUCUUCGUCUGACCGUUGCUUGCUGACGGGUGGGACCGCAAGGAGACACGUAUUGGGCAGCUUGUCUAAAUCUGAAACAGAUCUAGACAGGCCGCACCGCACCGCGCCGCCCCGCCCCCUCCGCCGGCGUCGUGCCGCGUCCACCGCAGUUGUUUCCUCCACCAUAUGCCCCUAUUCCGUUCGUCGGCGACGCCGCAUCUCUGCCAGAUAUAGCCCACCUCCCCAUCUAGGAUUACAUAGCGAUGUUGAGUGAGGACGCCCGGAAGGCAGUCGACCCUGGAGAGGAUUGGGUCGAAUCCGCGGCAGAUAAUUCACGGAUUAAACCUGGGUAAGCAUCGUUUCCUCUUGAAUUGACGUUCUAAGUCAUAUUGUAGGCCGUAUUUGACUUCUGUUUGCUGAAUCGUUCGAAUUUGUGCUCGAUUUUACCCGGCUAACUGAAGCCUUUGUUUCAACAAAAUAGGAUUGAUCCCGCGCUGGCUUUCCGGCUGGCGAUUAGAAUGGAAACUAGUGUGUUGCGUGGCACUAAACCGCAUUUGAUUUCAUCAUUUUUCUAUCCCAAAGUGGUAGAAACCAGCAUAUCUUUCAAAGAUUUGCGAGCUGAGCUCCAAAACACCUAUCCCUGGAGUGAUGCCGAUGCUGUUGAACUGAAUUACUUCAGGAGUGACGAGCAAAGAUUUCUCCCACUAACUUGUGACGAUCAUAUGCCAUUGCUUUUUUCUGGGAUUGCUGGCUGCCGAUUCGGUAAACUCCAAAUCGAUGUGCUUCAGCCACGCGCAGAACGGGCGAAGGGGAAGGGAGUUCAGACAUCAUCUGUCUCUGCUAAUAGCCAGCACCCCGGCACUCCUUGUAGGUCGACACCAAGUAAAGCAAGUGGUUCAUGGAGCCACAACAUGCCUGCUGCCAAUUCUGGUUCUGAUUCAGCUGCUGCUUCUCGUGUACCUUCUGCAGUUGGUGUAGAAGAAGAUGCAGAACCUGACGAGGCAGUGCCUACAGAUGAUGAUGAAGACGAGAUGAUGUUCCCUAAACGGGUCGAUGUAGCCAGUCAACAAGCAGUGGAUGAUGAAUAUACGGAGGAGCCCAUCAGCCAAGCUAGGUUUGAUGACACUAACGAUGAAGAGAAGGUGGAGAACAUGGACAGCUUAAUCGAGGAUGAAUACGAUGGUGAUGACAUGCCAACAAUUGAGUGGAACAGGGAAAACCUGAGCUUAGUGUAGGUACCACUUUCCAAUCAAUGGUGGACUGUCGGAAUGCAGUGACAACAUGGUGCAUUAUAUCGGAAAACACCUAUAAGAUUAAAAGGAGUGAGCCAGCAAGGUUCACAAUUUUUUGUCCAUAUCCUAGGUGUAGGUGGAAGUUGCAUGCAUCUCGUAUGAUAAAGAGCAAAUAUAUUCAGGUAAUCCAAGUUCAGUUAGUAAUUUAGUUUCAGAUCAUUGAGUAAGGUUUCUUAACUGUUUUUACCCUUUUAUUUUGUUUCAGAUAAAGAAAAACCCACACAAGCACACCUGUCCACAUGGAGGGGGAGAGGGAAGGCCAAAACCAAGCUAGCAAAAACUAGGUGGGUGGCAGAUGCUAUAUUUGAUUGGCUGAGAGAAGAACCUGGACUUGGUCUAACGGCACUCCAUGGGAAGCUUUUUGAGAAGUACAAGAUAGAAAUUCCUUACAUGAGAAUUUUCAAUGCUAGGGAAAAGGCUCUUGAUAGAAUUAAUGGUCAAUGGAAUGACAGUUUUCAGCUGCUUUACACUUUCAAAGCUGAAGUGGAGAUGGCAAGUCCAGGGAGUGUUGUAGAGAUUGACAAGCAUACGGUUCCAUUCAAAAUAAAAGGGAAGUCAUUUGAGAAGGAGUGCUUCAGAAGGGAUUUUGUUUGUUUCAAGGCUUGCUGGCAAUGGUUUCUAGAUGGUUGCAGGCCCUAUUUGGCUUAGAUGCUACACAUUUGACUGGAAGAUGGAGAGGACAACUAGUAGCAGCUUCUGCAGUUGAUGGACACAACUGGCUAUUCCCAGUUGCAUUUGGUGUGGUGGAGGCAGAGUCUGAGGAAAGUUGGGUCUGAUUUCUACAGCAGUUGCGCAACAUUAUAGGCACACCCCCAGGUUUAGCUAUACACACAGAUGCUUGCAAGGGUUUAGAGACUGCAGUAGAAAUUGUAUUCCCUGGAGUGGAGCAUAGGGAAUGUAUGCGACACCUAGCGCAUAAUUUCAAAAAGAAGUUCAAAGGUAAAGUUUAUGAUGAGAACUUAUGGCCAGCAUCAUACACAUGCAGCAAAAGGAAGCAUGAACACCAUUUGAGAGUGUUGUAUGCUCAAAAUCCUCUUGUGAAGGAGUACAUGGAUGCACAUCAUGGCAAGGUGUGGUCAAGAAGCAAAUUCAACGAAAUCUGCAAAGUAGAUUAUGUGACCAGUAACCUUGCAAAAUGCUUCAAUUCAAAGUUCAAGUCAGUGAAAGGGCUCUUGUUGUGGCAAGCAUUUGACAAGAUGAGGCAGAUGAUCAUGAUAAAGAUGGCUCUUCGCAAAAGAAUUGCAGAAACACAAUAUGUUGGUCAUCAGAUGCUCCCAUCACUGAUUAAGGCAUUGCACUUGAAGGCAAGAGGACUGAAGAUGAAAUGUAUUCGAUCUGGUACAUAUGAGGGAGAGGUUACCUAUACUGACACUAAAAAUAGGGUAUGGAGGUAUCCUGUGAACCUAAGUACUAGAGAAUGUACUUGUAGGCAAUGGUAGAUCUGUGGGAAGCCAUGCAGACAUGCCCUACAUCUGAUGACCGUUAUCGGGGGUGCAGAUGGUGAAGUUGAUCAAUAUUGCUCUGAGUAUUUCUCCGUUGCCAAAUUUAUGGCUGCUUAUGCUGACAAUGUGCCUGCACUCUUGGGGAAAUAUCAAUGGAACAUAGUAGAUCCAGGGUUCAAACUCCACGCUCCUGUCAUUACUAGACCACCAGGAAGACCAAGGAACCAGAGGAUUAGAGCUGGUGAGGAGGGUCGUCUACAAAAGAAGCGUGCUUGCAAAAAAUGCGGAGUUCUGGGGCAUAUUGCUAGGCUUUGUACCAAUGCAGUGGAUGCAUCAUUUGGAGAGGAGGAAAGAUGGACAUCAGCCAAUGCAGAGGAGAAUGCAGCAGCAAUGGAGACUGAAGAUGCAGAGGAGAAUGCAGUAGCAAUGGAGACUGAAGAUGCAGUGAGAAUACAGCAGCAAAUGAAGCAUCUUGGUAUGUGUUUGCAUUUGUAGAAUGCAGCUACCCUUUUGUUUGCAUUUGUUCUCUUUUUUGCCUAUGGCUUAUAAUUUUAUUUACCAGCUCUAGGGAGAAAAGGCUAAGAGAUGAAGAAGCCGAAGAUUUUGAAACCAUGGCCUUUGAUGGUUUUGAAGCUAUAAGAGAGGAAGAGGAGGGGGUAAUUUUUCCAAUUGUGCCUUUAAAGAUUACUGAACCCAUAGAUGACCGUCAAAUGGUCGUCAAGUGCUCGGCGAGUGGAACUACUCCAUCAGCGCCUCCACGGCGAAAACCCCAAGUAAAGAUCAAAAGGAACAAGAGUCUGAAAGAAAAGAGCAUCUCAACUAGGGAAACCAGGAGCAAGAAGGUGAAGCCAGCUGCAAACACAAGGAGCAAGUCGAAAAUUUGAAUUAAGUUGUUAGGAGAUGUUUGUGUUGUCAAUUUGAGGGCGAGUCGAUCGCUUAAAACUUGGUAGAUUUGUAUUAAGAUGUUGUCAUCUUAAAACUUGGUAGAUUUGAGCUACUAUGAAAACUUAUCAGUUGUAAUAAUGUUGCUUCUACUUUGGUUUCUUAUUUGAGUCAGAAUACAAAUUUCCAUCAAAAUUUGAAUUUAAUCAAUAUUUGAAUUUGGGCCAAAAUUUGGAUUCGAGCCAAAGUUGAAGUUGAACAUUGGAGGUUCAUUGCUCUGUGCGGUGUAUUUGAUCGAGCAUUUGAAGUCCAAUAUUCGUAGGUGAACAGUCCGAAUGAGAAAUGUGCUAGAAAAGAGCUCGAAAGCUAGGGUAAACAGCCCUAUUUUUAAUCAAGUUUUUUUGACCUUGUCUAAAUGAGGCACAUAUAUUUUUAUUAACACUUGUUCCAUAUAUAUAUAGGGUAAAAUGAAGUCUCACUCUUUAUUGAUUAAUAUUCAUAUUACUACAUUUUUUUGAAAAAAAUAUGCUUUUAAUUCAAAACCAUCAAAUAACGCGUUUUAGAUAUGAAAAUGAAAAAGUAAGUUCAGAUCCUUCUUAUUCACUCCAAAAUGAAGCUAUGGAGAUUUUUCUUUUUUUUUUAAUUAUUUUGAUUUUUUUUCAAACCCUAAACCCUCUCUCCCUAUUCUACGAACUCUGAACAUGUUCAUAGGUGAUAGCUCAUUUGUCUGAAGCCUUUUUUCAUGAAAAUGACCUACACCAAGUUUAUAUUUUUUUCUCAUAACCUUGUCACAUAUGACGGCUAUGUGCGCAAGAAUUACAACAUUUUGAUUUUUUUGAAUUUUUUUUAAACAUUUGAACUUGAUUUCGACAGAUCACUUCAAAAAAUGAUUUUUCAAAAAAACGCCCCUAUAUCGAGUUUAUAUUUUUUAUGGUAACUAGGUCUCAUAAACGGAUGAACUACGUUUUUUAUAUUUUUGCGAUUUUUUCUAAUUUAGUUAUGGCCAUUUGAAAUAUGGUCAAACCCUAAUAACCCCGUUGACUGGCUCAUAACCCCGCAGAAAUGCUCCAAACCCUAGCGUCGAACGUCCGCCGUCGGAUCCUACCAAGCGCCAAACACCAUCCGUCAGAUGUGGGGGCAGGCAUGCGCGAUCCGCGCGACGCUAGUUUUGCAUCCUGAUUGGCUACUGCACUGUCCUUCUCGAGUUUUUACGAUCUGCCCCACUUUACAUAUGAAAUUGUAUUUUUCGCACAUGACCACCACAUGUUAGUGUUAUGAGUUGGUUCAAAUAUUCAAACUGCAAAAUACAAUGUGGCAAAUCGUCAAUAUAGCUUCCCCUUCUCCUCUUCUCCAUCUGACAGACAAAGGCAUCGAGCAGAUCUCGAGCAGUUCCUCUGUUUCUUUCCCCAUCUUCUCGUUCUUCUUCCUCUCGAGCAAUUCCUCUGUUUCUUCCUCUCCGGCGAUAUAUCGACCUCCCCGUCAGCCCCCUGUUCCACGUGGCCGGUGUAUGGUCCAGUGCCGAUGACUCGAUGCACUGACUGCCCACGGACUGCGCCACUGAAGCGGUUGACUUCGAAGGAGGAGAAGAAUGGGAACUUUGGGCACGAGUUCGUCAAAUGCGAGAGCAAGCCGAAGGGGCGGGUUAGAUCUGAGUUUUCCUCGCAUCCUUUAUCUCUAAUUUCUCAAAAAAUCUGUCAGAUUUGGGAUUUAGGUUACAUGAUUUCGUUUUCAGAUCGUGAAGAAAUGCCACCAUUUUGAGUGGAUGGAUGAUUACAUCCAGAGGCUUCAAGGGUUGGGCUUGCUGGAUUGGAGGAGGAAUGCAAUCAGCGUAAAUCUGCCCCAUGGCAGUGCCGCUCCAGCAACAGCAGCGCGUCCGGAAUACCCGACAGUGGUAGAUGUUGAACUGAAGACGGAAUUGAAGAAGAUGAACAAGAACUUCAAGCAGCUGAUUGAGUUGAAGAAGCAAUCCAAUCUGAUAGCUUUAGGAAUACUUUCUCUAGGAAUUUUUUACUUGAUGGCCAUCUCUCGUUAGAGAUGUUUGUCUACUGUUGUUGCCACUGUUUAGCAAUCCAAGUCUGUUUAUCUCAAAUGCAACUCUGUUUAGUGCAAUUGUCGAUCUCUGAAUGUAUGCAGUUUACUGUUAUGUUUCGACACUUUCAGUUUCGGCAGAAGACAACUACUAGUUCAGUGAUAGGAUUAUUUUGUUAGCUAAUAACCUCGAGUGUUGGAUCAUACCCUAGCUCGUCAGAUGACAGUAAGAAGUACUUGAGCAGCACAAGGGAUAUACAUCAAGUUCAUCUCUUCUCUCUCGCACUUGCCAAACUUUUGUCCUCGAGUUCGUCAGUUCUGCUAGAAAAAAAACCUAGUUCGCGGGCCUAAAGAGAAUCAAGCUGCAAUAGGCCCACAAAGGAUAAAUGAGGCCCAGAAACAAGCGAUGUUUCUUUUUUUGUUUAGGAAUGAUUUCUUUGUUCUUUUUUGUUUCUGAUUGAUUUUUUCAUUAAUUUGAUUGCCUAAUCUCUUCUAUUUCAUUGAGGAAUUUUUUUGGCUUUCCUAUAUGGGUCCCUUCAUUUUUUUGAUUUGAUUUCUCUUCACCGUAUGUGCUUUUGUUUUGCUUGCUCACAACCUGGCUUAGUUUGGCGGUGAAGUAAUUUUAGAAUCAAAGUAUUUGCAAACCGCGGUAUUAUUAUGCCUAGCGAACCAAUACUUCAGUAUUGGAAAAAGAGGUCCAACCCUCUUUUUUAUAUACUUCAAAAAUAGUGUAGUUUUCUAGAUAUUAAAGUAUAUAAAACUACACUUUUGACUAAAGCCAAACAUCUCAAAGUAGUUGAUACUUCAAUAUUUAUGGAAACCAAAGUAUUCUUGGAAUACCUAAAAAAUACAGAGCUCCCAAACCAAAGCCGUGUACAAUAUGUUCUUAUUUUUAGAAGGCAUCUAUAAACACAUCAUUUUUAGUUAGUUUGGUUAAUUUUGCCCACGUCAAUUAGCCGUGUCUAAACUUGGGACAAACAAAAUACAAACAUAACAAAGCAUUAAUAUAACACACAUAACUUAACUUAGAUAGGGUUGCUAGGGCAACACAAGUUCUUACAUAUAACAUGACACCAAUAGAUAAUUAACCUUACAUUGAUAGGGUAGCUAGCUUGGGCAACACACACACCAAACUCACACUACAUUGUAGAUAGGGUAGCUAGGGCAACACCGCCAUGUCUUCACCGUCGUCUUCACCUUAACCGCCGGCUUCACCGUCUUCUUCGCCGCCGGCUUCAGUACUGCUCCUCCUCAAGGCCGUUCUCGCCGAGGUAGUACGGGAGGCUGUGCAUGCGGUUGCGAGCGAGGAAGACGCUCUCGAAGUCGGUGACGAUGUUAUAGGUGGUGAAUGCGAUGAACUCGCACCCACACCAAUACACCUUGCCGAGCAGGUAGUAGGCAUCGAACCUGUUGGUGAAGUGGGCGACGAGCCCUACCACUGGAGCGUUGGCGUGGGGACGCUGCUCCACGAGGUUGAACAUGGGCGGCGAGCCCGCCGGGAGGUGGUUGAAGCCCGCACGGAGGAACCCCCGUGCAAGCUUAGUGCUACCCCUCCAGCGUGAGAACGCCCACACGCGGAGCGAUGCCUCGACGACGAUUUUGGCGGGGUACCAUCGUUCCGGCACGGUGGGCGGCUCGAGGAACGUCGGCCCGUUGUACUGCAUCUUGCUCGCUUCGCUGAGUGUUUGCUUUGGCUUUUGGGGGAAGAAGAGAAGGGGGAGGCGCAGAUGGAUCUGUAGAAGAAGAGGCAAUGAAGGGCGGUUUAAAUAGUCGGGGGAGACGAAGAGGGUAAACGUGGAAACGGCGUAGAUCAUGACUCAGUGCGUGCGUGAACCCAUGCGAUCAUCAAUGUGUGAACGUGAAUCGAUGCGAGCGUGCUCUGCGUGCAUGUCUGCCUGCCUCCCCCUUCUGCGUGCUCUGCGUGAAUCAAUGCCACAACUAAAUCGAGCGGCAGCCGUGCGGCGUGAACCGAUGCCUGGACAUAUGGACGCGAGCGUGCAGCCUUCCCCUUCUGCCACCGGCACGUAGGCCUGCGAUGCGUGAAACGAUGCUGCGGAGCGACUGGAUCCACCGGCAACCAUGCGGCACGGAUCGAUACGUGCGUGUCGGCAUGCAUGCAUGCGAUUAGGGCUAGGUCACUAGAUGCGUGCGUGGCGGCGUUCGCAUGCAUACCAGGCUGCAUCGAUGCCAAAGCCGGGCAUGCAUAGCAGGCUGCAUCCAUCGAUAGCAGGCUUUUUUAAUUUAUUACCAACAAACUAACGGGCCCGUCCUAUGAACACAAACACGGCCCAACCAGCGAAGCCACAGCCACAGUCAGCUGAGUCCAACGUGGCCCCACAAGUCAGAGUUAACGGCCAAGACGACAAAUGUCUGCUAUGAACAUUUGUGAGAGUUUCAGCUAAGGGACUGGGGAAAAUGAGCAAAAGUUUGGAGCGUGGGGAAAACUGAGCACAACUAAAGAAUUGGGGGCACAGAUGGAAUAAUCUCUCUCUCUCUCUCUCUCUCUCUCUCUCUCUAUAUAUAUAUAUAUAUAUAUAUAUAUAUAUAUAUAUAUCUAUGUGUGUGUUUGUGUGUGUGUGGGAGGGGCGCCCCUAGAACACACAACAUCAAUUGUUAUCCUUGUGCGGCGCCCCCUCCACAGUUUACACCCCCGGUCAUAUUCUCGCGGUGCUUAGGCGAAGCCCUGCGCGGAUCACUUCACCAUCACCGUCACCAGGCCGUCGUGUUGACAGAACUCAUCUACUUCCUCGACACCUUGCUGGAUCAAGAAGGCGAGGGAGAUCAUCGCGUUGAACGUGUGCAGACCUCGGAGGUGCCGCACGUUCGGUGCUUGAUCGGUCGGAGCUAGAAUAAUUUCGACUAUAUCAACCGCGUUGUCAAACGCUUCUGCUUUCGGUCUACAAGGGUACGUAGACACACUCUCCCCCUCUCGUUGCUAUGCAUCUCCUAGAUAGAUCUUGCGUGAGCGUAGGAAAUUUUUUGAAAUUGCAUGCUACGUCUCCCAACAUAGGUACCUUAAUCAAUUCAUAUCUAGGAGGAGAAUCAUAAUUUUCAGUUUCAAUAAUAUCACCAGUUUCAGAAAUAUCAUCAUCGUCAGCAUAAUCAAUAGUUCUAACUCUAGCAAGAUGUUCAUCAAGUAAUUCACCCAGUGGCAUAGUUUUAUCAAGCAAAGUAGUAGCAUCAUAAGCAUCAUUCAUAGCAGAAGUGGCAUCAUCAAUAACAUGCGACAUAUCGGAAUCAAUAGCAGGUGUAGGUGUCGCAAGCUUACUCAAAACAGAAGGUGAAUCAAGUGUAGAGCUAGAUGGCAGUUCCUUACUUCCACUUGUAGUAGAGGGAAAAAUAUUAGUUCUAGUAUCUUUCAAAUUCUUCAUAGUGAUCAACAGAUAAAAAUGCCAAAUGACUCAGAGAAUAGAGCUACGCUCCCCGGCAACGGCGCCAGAAAAAGGUCUUGAUAACCCACAAGUAUAGGGGAUCGCAAUAGUUUUCGAGGGUACAGUAUUCAACCCAAAUUUAUUGAUUCGACACAAGGGGAGCCAAAAAUAUUCUCAAGUAUUAGCAGCUGAGUUAUCAAUUCAACCACACCUGAAAGACUUAAUAUCUGUAGCAAAGUAUUUAGUAGCAAAGUAGUAUGGAAGUAACGGUAACUGUGGCAAAAGUAAUAGUAGCAGUUUUGUAGCAAUUGUAACAGUGGCAACGACAAAGUAACGUAGCAAAGAUCAAUAUGUGAAGAGCUCAUAGGCAAUGGAUCAAUGAUGGAUAAUUAUGUCGGAUGGCAUUCAUCAUGCAACAGUUAUAACCUAGGGUGACAUAGAACUAGCUCCAAUUCAUCAAUAUAAUGUAGGCAUGUAUUCCGAAUAUAGUCAUACGUGCUUAUGGAAAAGAACUUGCAUGACAUCUUUUGUCCUACCCUCCCGUGGCAGCAGGGUCCUAAUGGAAACUAAGGGUAGUAAGGCCUCCUUUUAAUAGAGAACCGGACCAAAGCAUUAGCACUUGGUGAAAACAUGAACUCCCCAAACUACGGUCAUCACCGGGAAGUGCCCCGACUAUUGUCACUCCAGGGUUGCCGGAUCAUAAUGCGUAGUAGGUGACUAUAACUUGCAAGAUAGGAUCAAGAAUACAAAUAUAUUCAUGAAAACAUAAUAGGUUCAGAUCUGAAAUCAUGGCACUCGGGCCCUAGUGACAAGCAUUAAGCAUAGCAAAGUCAUAGCAACAUCAAUCUCAGAACAUAGUGGAUACUAGGGAUCAAACCCUAACAAAGCUAACUCGAUUACAUGAUAAAUCUCAUCCAACCCAUAACCGUCCAGCAAGCUACGAUGGAAUUACUCAUGCACGGUAGUGAGCAUCAUGAAAUUGGUGAUGGUUGAUGAUGACGAUGGCGACGAUUUCCCCUCUCCGGAGCCCAAAACGGACUCCAGAUCUGCCCUCCCGAGGAAGAAUAGGAGGUGGUGGCUGCUCCGUAUCAUAAAACGCAAUGAAUCCUUCUCUCUGAUUUUCUUCUCCCCAAACGUGAAUAUAUGGAGUUGGAGUUGAGGUCGGUGGAGGUCCAGGGGACCCACAAGGCAGCGGCGCGCCCUAGGGGGGCACGCCCUCCACCCUUGUGGACAGCGGGUGGUCCCCCUCGGUUGAUUCUUUUGCCAAUAUUUUUUAUUAAUUCCAAAAAUAUUCUCCGUGAAGUUUCAGGUUAUUCCGAGAACUUUUAUUUCUGCAUAAAAAUAACACCAUGGCAAUUCUGCUGAAAACAAUGUCAGUCCGGGUUAGUUCCAUUCAAAUCAUGCAAAUUAGAGUCCAAAACAAGGGCAAAAGAGUUUGGAAAAGCAGAUACGAUGGAGACUAUCACGGGUACGCGAGAUAAAAUAAAUAACAGUAAAUUACAGCAAGGUAUUUUUGUAUUUUUGGAUUAAUAGAUCUGAAAAGAAAAGCAAAAUAAAAAUAGUUCUCGAAGGCAAAUAUAAUAAAGAAGAUUUCACUAGUGGAUUCUCUCGAGAAAAAUAGCAUACGGCGGGUAAACAAAUUACUGUUGGGAAAUUGAUAGAACUUCAAAUAAUCAUGAUGAUAUCCAGGCAAUGAUCAUUAUAUAGGCAUCAAGUCCAAGAUUCGUAGACCGACUCCUACCUGCAUCUACUACUAUUACUCCACACAUCAACCGCUAUCCAGCAUGCAUCUAGUGUGUUAAGUCCAUGGAGAAAUGGAGUAAUGCAAUAAGAACGAUGACAUGAUGUAGACAAGAUCUAUUUUUAUAGAAAUAGACCCCAUCUUGUUAUCCUUAAUAGCAACGAUACAUACGUGUCGGUUCCCCUUCUGUCACUGGGAUCAAGCACCGUAAGAUCGAAGCCAUCACAAAACACCUCUUCCCAUGGCAAGAAAAAUCGAUCUAGUUGGCCUAACUAAACCUAAAAUUUGAAGAAGAAAUACGAGGCUAUAAGUAAUCAUGCAUAUAAGAAAUCAAAAGACUCAAAUAACUUUCAUGGAUAAAAACAUAGAUCUGAUCAUAAACUCAAAGUUCAUCGGAUCCCAACAAACACACCGCAAAAAGAGUUACAUCAAGUAGACCUCCAAGAGACCAUUGUAUUGAGAAACAAAAGAGAGAGAGAGAGAGAGAGAGAGAGAGAGAGAGAGAGAGGAAGCCAUCUAGCUACUAACUACGGGCCCGUAGGUCUGCAAUGAACUACUCACGCAUCAUCGGAGAGGCUCCAAUGAGGAUGAUGAACCUGUCCGUGAUGGUGUCUAUAUUGGAUCUGGUGGUUCUAGAACUUGCGGCGGCUGGAAUUGAUUUUCGUCGACUCCCCUAGGGUUUCUGGAAUAUUGGGGUAUUUAUAGAGCAAAGAGGCGGUGUAGGAGGCCACCGAGGUGGGCACAACCCACCAGCGCGCGCCUGGGCCCCCAGGCACGCCCAGGUGGGUUGUGCCCCCCUUGGGGAACCCCUCUGGUAGUUCUUUGGCCCAUCUUGUGUCUUCUGGUCCAGAAAAAUUCUCUAAAAAGUUUCGCUGCGUUUGGACUCCGUUUGGUAUUAAUUUUCUCCGAAGUAAAAAACUAGCAAAAACAGCAACUGGAACUGGGCACUAUGACAAUAGGUUAGUCCCAAAAAAUGAUAUAAAGUUGCUACAAAAUGAUUGUAAAACAUCCAAGAAUGAUAAUAUAACAGCACAGAACAAUCAAAAAUUAUAGAUACGUUGGAGACGUAUCACAUGGUGAUGAGUCAGGAGGAUAUCUAUGCAUCCCGGGUUUUGUGAAGUAUCACAAAACAAAGGGAACAUCACAUAAUAACCAAAGGUUGACUCGAAUAUCAUUCGUGUACUCACAGGGACCAAUAGGGACGUCCAUGGGCCGUUGUCUCAUUGAACGAACGGGUUUGUCCAAGUCUGUGAGUUACCGAACCUAUGGGGUCACAAGCUUAAGGCAGUCACGAUCUGUUGAGUGUUAGUAGGAUGGGAGUCAUCAGAAUAUAUUUUUGGAAUUAUUUCAUGAAUAUUCGUAAAUAAUUCCGAGAGGAUCCAGGAGCAUUUCAGAGUAUCGGGUAAUACCGGUGAUUAUAUAUAGGUGGAAAAAGUUCUUGGAGAUGUAUUCUCCUAUAUAUAUGACAAAUUUUUGCUACCAUUAGUGGUAGUUAUCACCCCUUUAGUUUUGUAUGUUGUAUGUAGUAUCUGUCAAAUCGAAGAGUAUAUACGUGUAGCAUGUAGUAUAUAAAAAUGUUUAGAUAGUAUAUAUAUACUACUUUUUAAAUAGUAUGUAUCAUAUUUUAAAUACGCUCUUUUUACGUAUAAAUAUGUACGUAUUUCACAAAUAUAGUAAAAACCAUGGGCAAACUUGCAAUUUUUUCAUGUAACUCAUUUUGAAUUAUCUUAUAUAUACUAUAUAAACAUACUUAAAAUGAUAAAGUAGUAUAUGUAGUACCACAUGAUAGUAUAUGAGAUAUGUGGGGUAACUACUCCUAGGUGGUAGGGUGUAUUUUCACACACAUAUAUAUAGGUCUAGAAGUGUUUAGAACAUUUUAUAUUUAAUUUAAAUAUCAACGGGCCUAAAAAAGCCACGAGGUAGAAGGCAACUUGGGCCAAAAAGGCCCAAGUGGGAAAGUGCCUCCUUCCCUAAGGAAGGUGGCCGAAUUGGGAGAAGGGGGAGGAGUCAGACUCCCCCUCCUAGGCCAGUGCCCCAAGGGGGAAACUUUUCCCCCUUGGUGGCUGCCCUCUCCUCCCCCUCCAACAUAUAUAUACAUGAGGAUUUUGCUCAUUUGAACAUACAAGUUUUGGAGCCUCCUCUAGUUCUUGUAGUUCUAGUUCUAGUUCGUCCUAGUUGACUGAUUAGAGCUAGUCUAAUCCUCUUGUCCUCAUAAUUAGAAACCAAGUGUGGUUUUAGUCUCCUCCCUCUAAUUCUCUGAUGCGGCUUGAAGCUACGUCGGUAUUUCCCCAAAGAGGAAGGGUUGAUGCAGCACAACAGCGGUAGGUAUUUCCCUCAGUGAUGAAACCAAGGUUACCGAACCAGUAUGAGAACCAAGCAACACAACGUAAACAACACCUGCACACAAAUAACAAAUACUCGCAACCCGACGUGUAAAAGGGGUUGCCAAUCCCUUUCGGGUAGCGGCGCCAGAAAUUGGCAAAUGGACGAGAAUGAAUUGUAGUAGAUUGAUAGAUCGAACGCCAAAUAAAAUAAAAUAGGAAUAAAUUGCAGCAAGGUAUUUUUAUUUUUGUUUUAAUAGAUCUGAAAAUAAAAGCAAAGGAAAAUAGAUCGCAAAGGCAAUUAUAAUAUGAUAAAGAGACCCGAGGGCCGUAGGUUUCACUAGUGGCUUCUCUCGAGAAAAAUAGCAAACGGUGGGUAAACAAAUUACUGUUGGGAAAUUGAUAGAACUUCAAAUAACCAUGACGAUAUCCAGGCAAUGAUCAUUAUAUAGUCAUCACGUCCAAGAUUAGUAGACCGACUCCUGCCUGCAUCUACUACUAUUACUCCACACAUCGGCCGCUAUCCAGCAUGCAUCUAGUGUAUUAAGUUCAUGGAGAAACGGAGUAAUGCAAUAAGAACGAUGACAUGAUGUAGACAAGAUCUAUUUAUGUAUAAAUAGACCCCAUCGUUUUAUCCAUAGUAGCAACGACAUACGUGUCGGUUCCCCUUCUGUCACUAGGAUCAAGCACCAUAAGAUCGAACCCACUACAAAGCACCUCUUCCCAUUGCAAGAUAAAUAGAUCAAGUUGGCCAAACAAAACCCAAAUGUGGGAGAAGAAAUACGAGGCUAUAAGCAAUCAUGCAUAUAAGAGAUCAAAGAAACUCAAAUAACUUUCAUGGAUAAAAAGAUAGAUCUGAUCAUAAACUCCAAGUUCAUCUGAUCCCAACAAACACACCGCAAAAAGAGUUACAUCAUAUGGAUCUCCAAGAGACCAUUGUAUUGAGAACCAAACGAGAGAGAGGAAGCCAUCUAGCUACUAACUACGGACCCGAAGGUCUACAAAGUACUACUCACGCAUCAUCGGAGAGGCACCGAUGGAAGUGGUGAACCCCUCAGUGAUGGUUUCUAGAUUGGAUCUGGUGGUUCUGGACUCUGCGACAGCUGGAAUUGAUUUUUGCCGACUCCCCUAGGGUUUCUGGAAUAUUGGGGUAUUUAUAGAACAACGAGGCGGUUCAGGGGGCACCCAAGGUGGGCACAACCCACCAGGGCGCGCUUGGGCCUCCUAGCACGCCCUGGCGGGUUGUGCUCCCCUCAAAGCACCCCCCAAGCGCUUCUCCGGCCCAUUGGAUGUCUUCUGGUCCAAAAAAAUCCACAAAAAGUUUUGUUGCAUUUGUACUCCGUUUGGUAUUGAUUUCCUACGAUGUAAAAAACAUGCAGAAAACAGCAACUGGCACUUGGCACUAUGUAAAUAGGUUAGUACCAAAAAACGAUAUAAAAUGAUUAUAAAACAUCCAAGAUUGAUAAUAUAACAGCAUGGAACAAUAAAAAAUUAUAGAUACAUUGGAGACGUAUCAGCAUCCCCAAGCUUAAUUCCUACUCGUCCUCGAGUAGGUAAAUGAUAAAAACAGAAUUUUUGAUGUGAAUGUUGCCUAACAUGUCAUCUCAUAUUCUUUUCUUUAUAGCAUGGACAUUUGGACUUUUAUAUUGUUCAAAGCAAUAGUCUAGUUUUGACAUGAUAACUUAAAUACUCAAGCAUAUCAACAAGCAACCAAGUCUUUCAAAAUAUCAAUGCUAAAAUAAGUUAUCCCUAGCCCAUCAUGCUCAAUCAUUGAUCCAUUCAUGAAACACACUCCCAUAUUAGCUACACCCAAUGCUCAAGUACGAUCAUAGUGCUCCCUAGUUGGUGCUUUAUAAGAGAAGAUGGAGACUCAAAUUCAGAAAUAAAAAUUGCAUAAAGUAAAAGUAAGGCCCUUCGCGGAGGGGAGUAGGGAUUUGUAGAGGUGCCAGAGCUCAAAGCGAGAAACUUAGAGAUAAAAACAUUUUGGGAGGUGUGCUUUUCCCACCAACGAAAACGACUUAGAGUUCCCAACACUUUCCAUGCUAGAUAUAUCACAGGCGGUUCCCAAAUAGAAAAUAAAGUUUAUUCCUUUUUCAACCAUACUUUCACUUUCCAUGGCUAGCCGUAUCCACGGUUGCCCUCCAUACCAACACUUUCCAAGGAAUUUAUUAUUUGACAACAUAAAGUAAAUUCAUUUUUCAUUUCGGGACUAGGCAUCCCUAAUACCUUUGCCUUACUCUCGUGCAAUGACAAGUGAAUAAACACUCAUCGUGAGAAUAACACAUCUAGCAUGGAAAAUAUUAGCCACCCAUCACCACCUCGCGAGCGGUACGAGCACACAAAAGAGAAGUUCAUUUUGAAAAUUAGAGAUGGCACAUACAAAUUUGCUUAGAACGGCAAAAGAAUACCGCAUAUAGGUAGAUAUAGUGGACUCAUGUGGCAAAACUGGUUUAAAGGUUUUUGGAUGCACAAGUAGUGAUCAUACUUAGUGCAAAAUGAAGGCUAGCAAAAGAUUGACAAGCGACCAACCAAGAAACGAAUAAUCUCAUAAGUGAGCAUUAAGCAUAAUUAACAUCGAAUAAUGCACCACAAGUAGGAUAUAAUUUCAUUGCAUGACUAUUGACUUCCAUGCUUGCAUAGGGAAUCACAAACCUUAACACCAAUAUUCUUACUAAAGCAUAAUUACUCAUCAAGAUGACUCACAUAUCACAUCAUCAUAUCUCAAAACUAUUACUAAGAAUCAAGUUUAUUUUGUCCAAUGAUCAUCAUGAAAGUUUUUAUUAUAUCCUUCUUGGAUAUCUAUCACUUUGGGACUAAUUUUCAUGUGUUGCUUUUGAUAAGCUCAAACAAAUAUAAGUGAAGAUCAUGAACAUAACAUUUCUUUCUAUCAAAUUAAUUUAAGCGAAGCAAGAGAGAAUUUCUUCAAAAAUAACUAAGCACACCGUGCUCAAAAAGAUAUAAGUGAAGCACUAGAGCAAAUCCAUAGCUCAGAAAAAAUUUAAGUGAAGCAUAGAGAGCAAUUCUAACAAGUCAUUGCAUAAUUUUGGCUCUCUCAAAUAGGUGUGUCCAGCAAGGAAUCAAGACUUAAAACGCAAAACAAAACAAAACAAGCAAAGACUCAUAUCACUCAAUACGCUCCAAGAAAAACUCAUAGUAUGUGAUGAAUAAAAAUAUAGCUUCGAGUAAAAUACCGAUGGUCGUUAGAAGAAAGAGGGGAUGCCACUCGGGGCAUCCCCAAGCUUAGUUUCUUGCUCUCUUUGGAUAAUAGCUUGGGAUGCCGGGGCAUCCCCAAGCUUAGGCUCUUCUUACUCCUCAUUCCUUCAUCCAUCGUAACAUAACCCAAAACUUGAAAACUUCAAUCACACAAAACUCAACAAAACCUUCGUGAGAUCCGUUAGUAUAAGAAACAAAAUGUGGCACCCCGGCUCAGAGCAACUGGUUUACCUUGUAUUGCCAGCCCAGAGACCAUGUCUUCUGGCAACACACAACAUCUUGGUACAGAAAGCAACCGCUUUAUUGAUACUAGCGGAACAUGGUUCAUAUUACAACAAGUUGCGAGGCCAAGCGGCACACACAGUGCGGCUGAACAAUAUGUACAUUAUUUAGUGAACAUAAAGGGAUCUUGAUCGUGACAACUACGCGGCAGCGGAACGACGACGAAGCGGAACUCCAUAGCACAGGGACACCGAUGUGGACACGAUCUAGACUCGGACAGCACUCCUUUCCAACGAGACUUUCCUGAAAGCUGGCAUGACACGCCAGGUCAGUACAUUGAAUGUACUUGCAAGCUCACAACAAGCAUAAACAUAAUGACAAACAAUAUCAUGAUAAUUGACCAAUUGAAUCAUUAAUGCAAAAUCAUACUAGGGAUGUAGUGAUCAUAAUCUCGUGCCUUAAGUCUCUCGGACUUGCUUACCAAACGGUGAUCUCUUGGAUCACAAACAGACCAACAUCUUGGUCUUUGAUCGGGUUACCUCGUAACCCAACGGUGAUCUUACUCGGAUCACAAUCUAACCAAAUACUUGGCCUCCAGCAUCAAGAUGAUUUCUCAACCAUCCCUUUCAACAGUGCAAAGUUAUUACCUUAGUGUGCAAAAUUUAUUUAAACGUUGACCCAUGGUGUGACCUACUUUCGAGCAUGUCCGUAACCAUGGACUCGGCUAUCGAUAGAUUUAAUACACUCUGCAGAGGUAGCGCACUGUACCCACACCACGGAACCCAUGGCCUCGCACUCCCAUUCGGUUGGACCAACAGCAUUCCGACAGAACCCCUCCAUUGCCAUGACACUCUCCCGGCCACUCCGACUCACUCCCCACCGGGCUAAGUCCUGGGUGGCCCCGUGCCUACCAAAGACACCAACGGCCACCGUCGUGGCAAAACAUAAACGGUCCCAAACGGGGACAAGGUACCAUAAGAACAACGGGCACACAAGGUUAUGUCUGCUUACCGGGCCAGGGUAACGCACGCCCAUAACCUUCCCUCAUUGGAGGCACCGACCAGAGGCAUGACAACGGACCGAAUAAAGGCCUUCCCACAAAGGCAAAUGUGGUUGCACUGGGGAAAAAGUCGAUUCAAUGGCACUAUGACCCGAUCAACGAUAUGUUCAAGUUGAGUUAUUAACAGGUUCAACUUAAAGUGAAAGUAAUCGGUGUCAUGAUAUGCCAUGAAAAUGCAACACUAACAAAUAUGCACCACACAUCAUCAGAAAUAACUGGGUCAACCUCAUCAAGUACUAAGCAUAGAUAUCACUAACUCAUAACACCUAUCUGGUUAUGUUUGCUUAGCAAAUUAACCAUGACAAUAUCUUAGCAAACUUCUUUCCUUACUCAAGAAAAUAUUAAGCCAACUAAUUCUUUUUCAUAAACAAAUUACUUCGUCAUAAGCAAAUAUUACUUCUAAUGUCUUAAACUAGCUUAGUUAGUUUUAAACUUCUGUAAACUAACCAUAUCAACUUAAACAAGCAUCCAAUAGAAUAUAUAUUUAUUUAUUUUAGUGAUUUAAAUGCAUGGAUUAAAUCAUUUGUUCAAGCUGAAAAUCAUAAAUAUUGCAAUGACAAUGAAAAUGUUGAUGUGGCUUGCCUUAGUGCAGAUGAGGUUCACACUCCUCUUGGUGAUCCUCAAGACAAGCUUCACCUUCUGAAAACAAUUAUAAACACAAAAAGAAAUCAUCAAGAAACACUCUGAAAUUCACCAGGAAAUCUAGACAGCAUAGAAAAAUCUCAUUUUUGGUGAGCUGCUAGAUCUUUUCAUAAAGAACACAAUGCAACAAGAAUCAAUUCAUUUGGACUUAUGGUUAAAAAGUUGUGGUUGUUUGAAGCUCUCUGGAAUAUUUUGAAUUUGAUUAAAAUAAAAACAGAACUGGGGGGUGACGUCGAAGGCGUAACCCGCGGGGCGCCUCCACUCGUAUCGCUUCGGGAGCGGCCAGACUGGCUAACUAGCGGGCCCCGCUAGCCAGGUGAGAGGGAGGGGGAGGGAAACAGAGCACGGCGGAGCAUUGCCGGAGCUCACGCCGGCGAGGAGGGCGUCUUGGCCCGAGCUAAAGGGAUGGAUCGAAAGAGAAGACGAAGGCGCACCUGCCCGUACCCAUAGAUUAGGUAGGGGUGGUCGGACGGCGUCGGAACGGGCCUCUCCAGCGGUGACAGAGAGCGGAGGUCGCCGGAGUUGGAGAUGACGGCGACCAGAGGCGCCACAAGUGGCUCCAAUCGGGCUGGACGGCACCACUGAAGCACGGCGGAGCCUCUGGAAGGGUGGCCCGGGCUUGGGAAGGGCUGGAGAUGCGGGGACGACCCCAGGGGAUCGUCGGCGAGCUCAAGCUCGGGGACGGCGGCCCGAGGCCUGCCCGUCCGGGCUACGGCUUCCUACUGGUUUGUGGAGUGUGUGAGAGGAGUGAAUGAUGCUCGAGAGGGCUGGGGAGAGCGGUAUAUAUAGCCGAGCGAGAUGAGGGGUUCGGGCUCCGGCGGAGGACACCUGGACACAGCGCCCGGCGUCGAAUGGUGUCAGUGAGCGAGGGGGAAGGCGACGCAGCUCACGCGGGCACUGUAGGCGGGCGGCGACGAGCACAGGAACGAGGGGAAGGCGACGAACACAGUGCGCAGCGCACUGUUGGGUUGGCCGGACCGCGCCCAUGCUCGCUGCGGCGAGCUCCGGCAUCAACGAGCGCCAGGAGGGAGUUAAGGGAGUCGGGACGAUGAUCGUGGCAAAGAUUGGCAAGGCGCGGUAGGCGGGGAAGUGAGCACGCGCUCAAUAGCGGCUCAGGCGCGUCGCAGAGCGCGUCGGCUGCAUGCCAGCACGCCUGGAUGAACGCGGUCACCGCUCGAACUAUGACAUCAGGCCGCGCUAAGCUUAGACUUCAUGUAUGGCGUGUAGUCCUUCGUGGUUUGAGUGGUUCCAACCCUUUGAGUUGAGCUCAAGCGCAGUAAGAUGGAGUUUCACUACGAGGUAAGUUUCUGGACAGUAACUUUGAGAGCUUACUAUGGUCAAAAUACUAAGAGUUGGGAGCUGAGCUUUGGAGUUUAGCAAUCAUCUAGGAAUGUAGUGAAGCACAAGAAAAUUCAGCAGCAUUGGAGCAAGUAAAAUGGUAGUUGCUGUAGAAACUACCAUUUCUGUCUAGAACUGAAAAUAUUUUCUGUAGUAAAAAUAUUCCAAAAAGUGAUGCAAUAUUUUUGCUCAGGAAGGUGUCUUAGGGUUCAAAUAAUAUUUGGGAAUUUUCUCAGCUUUUUGUGGGCAAGAAAAAUUGGGGUUGCUUUGGAACACAAUGGGCUGGUUAGGGUUUUGGAGGGGAAAAUGAAUAUUUUUCAUUUAAGAAAAAUAUUCAUAAUAUUAUUUUGAGGUGGAUCAGAGUAGAAGGGAUGGCUAGAGAGAGAAAUGAGUCACUUGGGUGAAAGUCAAGGUGGUACCCAAGUGUUUAAGUCCAACUGAAGUGAUUCAAACUCUAAAAUUCAAAUCAAAACCCAACUAAAAUCAGAGAAAGAAGAGAGGGCAAAAACUAGGCUGUCACAAACCUCCCCCACUUAGGAUGAAUCUCGUCCUCGAGAUUCGGUUGCUCGGGAAAACCAUUCUGGGUAAUGUGCCCUUAGAAAUUCUUCUCGUUCCCAAGUGGCUUCUGCCUCUGUGUGAUGCUCCCAGCGAACCUUGUAAAACUUUCUUGUUUUACUACGACUGACUCUUUCCAUCUGAUCCAAAAUUCUGAAUGGUCUCUCUUCAUAGGUUAAAUCCUUAGCCAACUCUAUUUCUGUCAUAGCAGUCUUUUUCUCGGGCGGCGAUAUACAUCGCCUCAACUGUGAGACAUGGAACACAUUGUGCACUUCUGACAAUUCUAGGGGCAGUUCCAACUGAUAUGCAACAGUACCCACUCUGGACAAAACUGGGAAUGGACCAAUAAACCUGGGUGCCAAUUUUCCGCGAGUCUAGAAUCUCUUGACUCCUUUCAUAGGCGUGACUCGGAGGUAUACAUGUUCUCCGGGUUCAAAACUGAUCUGUCGGUGCUUUGCAUCAUAAUAAGUCUUCUGUCGAGAUUUAGCCAAUUGCAAUCUGUCUCGGAUUUCCUUGACUUGAUUUUCAGCUUCCAUCAUGAGAUCCGUUCCGAAAAUAUGGCUAUCUCCAGUUUGAGACCAAUUCAACGGAGUGCGGUACUUACGGCCAUACAAAGCCUCAUAGGGUGACAUCUUUAGACUGGUCUGGAAACUGUUGUUGUAGGAGAACUCGGCAUACGGCAGACAGUCUUCCCAUUUAGGUCCUUGGGCCAAGGCACAGGCCCGAAGCAUAUCUCCGAGUAUUUGGUUUAAACGCUCAGUCUGUCCAUCGGUCUGAGGAUGAUAAGAGGUACUAUACUUUAGCGCUGUCCCCAAGGCUUGGUGGAGACGUGACCAGAAAGCGGAGGUAAAAAGUGACCCCCGGUCGGAAGUGAUUGUUCAUGGUACUCCAUGCAGACUGACUAUUCUGGACACAUACAGUUGUGCGAGCUGAUCGGCUCGGUAUGUGGUUUUGAUAGGAAUAAAAUGAGCUACCUUGGUUAAGGUGUCCACUAUGACCCAUACCGCGUCAUUGCCUUGCUGAGUCUUUGGUAGCCCUGUGACAAAAUCCAUGCAAACAUCAUCCCACUUCCAUUGAGGAACGGGCAAUGGUUGGAGGAGUCCGGCUGGUUUCUGGUGUUCUGCCUUCACUUUGUUGCAUAUAUCGCAACAGGCCACAAAGUAGGCAAUGUCCUUCUUCAUUCCAUCCCACCAGAAUAUUUGUCAAAGGUCUUCGUACAUUUUAGUACCUCCGGGGUGAAUAGAAUAUGAAGAUUCGCGUGCUUCUGAUAGUAUUCUCUUCCUUAAAUCUUCUUGCCUGGGUACACAAAUCCUUCCACGGAAUCGCAGUGUACCUUCUUGAUCCUUAGAAAAAUCUGAUGUACGUCCUGCUAACAUACGCUUGGCAUGUUUCUGUAGGACUGUGUCAUGUGGCUGGGCCUUGCGGAUCUCUUCCUCAAGGGUAGGAGUAACUUCCAUAAUAUUAGCAAGACCAGCACCAAUAAUGACCAGGUUGAGCUGAGCAAUUUCUUCUUGAAGUUCAUGAGGCAAGGAUUCCAUUAUGAUAUUCAGGCUGACAGGCUUUCAGCUGAGUGCAUCGGCAACCACGUUGGCCUUACCCGGGUGGUAAUUUAUUCCAAGAUCAUAGUCCUUGACUAACUCAAGCCAUCUUCGUUGGCGGAGAUUUAAAUCUGGCUGAGUAAAUAUGUACUUGAGACUUUUGUGGUCAGUAAAUAUUUGGCACCUCUUCCCAAUGAGGUAGUGCCUCCAAAUUUUUAGAGCAUGAACCACCGCGGCUAAUUCCAGAUCAUGAGUAGGAUAGUUUCCUUCGUGGGGUCGUAGCUGUCGCGAUGCAUAUGCUACCACCUUGCCAUCUUGCAUAAGUACGCAUCCAAGGCCCUGUCUGGAAGCAUCACAGUACACAUCAAAGCUGCGGUAGAUGUCUGGAAGAAUCAACAUAGGUGUUGUUGUCAGCCGGAUUUUCAGCUCAUUGAAACUUUUCUCACAGUCCUCAGUCCAUUCAAACUUCUUAUCCUUCUUGAGCAAUUCCAUCAUUGGUUUGGCAAUCUUGGAGAAGCCUUCAAUGAAACGACGGUAAUAUCCAGCUAAUCCAAGGAAACUCCAGAUUUGGGAUACUGUUGUGGGUGCCAACCAAUCGAGCACGUCCUUUACUUUGCUUGGGUCCACGACUAUGCCUUCUGCGGACAGCACAUGCCCAAGAAAUCCAACUCGCUUGAGCCAAAACUCGCAUUUACUGAAUUUGGCGUACAGCUGAUGGUCGUGGAGUCGUUGUAAUACAGCUCUGAGGUGUCCUUUGUUCUCUUCUUCGACUUUUGAGUAUAUGAGUAUGUCAUCGAUCAAGACCACAACAAAUUUGUCGAGGAAGUCCAUGAAUACUUUAUUCAUCAUAUGCAUGAAUAAAGCAGGGGCAUUGGUGAGGCCAAAGGACAUAACCGUAUAUUCAUAAAGACUGUACCGGGUAGUGAACGCGGUCUUAGGAAUAUCCUCCUUUUUAAUCUUGAGUUGGUGGUACCCUGUCCUUAAAUCAAUUUUGGAGAAUACCUUGGCCCCACUGAGUUGAUCAAAUAAGUCAUCGAUCCUGGGCAGUGGAUAUUUUUUUUGAAGGUGACAUCAUUCAGCUGACGGUAAUCCACACACAUACGGAUACCAUCUUUCUUAUCCACGAAUAUAGCAGGUGAUCCCCAUGGUGAAGAGCUGGGACGGAUAUACCCUUUCUGGAGCAUCUAAUCAAGCUGUUUCUUUAGCUCCACUAAUUCUGACGAAGGCAUCCGAUAAUACUUCUUGUAUAACGGUGCGGUUCCGGGCACGAGAUCUAUUGCAAACUCAAGCUCUCGAUCUGGCGGCAUGUCUGGCAGUUCUUCUCGGAAUACAUCAGGAAACUCACUGACCACAGGAAUUAAUUACAAUUCUCCAGCCACAGUGGUGAAGACCAUUUCUUUCUUGGGUAUGCUCCUGCGGGCAUAGAAUUUUGUAGCCUGCCCCUCUUGACUUGUCAAAGUGACUUCUCGGGUCGCGCAAUUAAUGCAUACUUGAUAUUGGGUUAACCAACUCAUCCCCAAAAUAAUGUCCAACUUGACGGACGCAAUGACUAUCAAGGAAGUUGGAAAACGGACUCCGUUGAUAUUAAUUUCCAGAUUACGGCAGACCAGAUUGCUUCUAAGCAAAGAUCCCGGGGAUUGUACCAGCAUAUUCUUGCUCAAAAUUGAACAAGGAAAUUUGUUUUGUGCAACAAAACUCCGCGAAAUAAAAGAGUGGGAAGCCCCAGAGUCAAAUAAAAUUAUGGCAGGUAUGCUAUUAACAGAAAACAUACCAAUGACGACUUCGGGGUUCUCUUGGGCUUCAUCUGCGGAGAGGUAAUGGACUUGUCCAGUGAUGUUUUGCUGGAUAGGGUAUGACCCCAUAAAGUUGACUUGUGGUCUAAAUGGAGCAUUGGUCUUGCCGUUCUUGGGACACUGUCUGGCAUAAUGUCCGGUUUGUCCACAACUGAAACAAGAAUUGUUGCGCUAGCACUCUUCUCGCACCGGAUUGGUCACGACAUUCCUGACUUGUGUAGUGGUUUUGUUAACAUUCUGCUGCAAAUUGGGCUUGUACUCUACCUGGGUAUGCUGCCAGGUACGAGCCUUUUGCACUGGUUGCACUUCCUUCCUUGGCUCGAACUUGCGCUUGUGGUCGUUAUUUGCAGGCUUAUUGUCAUGUAUAAGCGUGUGCUCCCUUUCAGCAUUGAGGGCCUUGUUUACCAAGGUUUGGAAAUCAGGGAAGUCAAACAUCCUGAGGGUGCAUCGGAGAUGCUGGUUUAACCCCCCAAGAAACAUGUCGAUCUUUCUUUCUUCGGUGGCCACAUCAUAAAGAGAGUAACGGGCCAAAUGAUUGAACUUAUGCAAAUAUUCACUCACAGACUGACUUCCUUGGAGGAGCGCGAGGAAUUCACGCUGCUUGAUCUUCAUAAUUCCAGUGGGAAUAUGAUAUUUAUGGAACUGAUCCUUGAAUUUUUCCCAGGUGAUUGCUUCAUCAGCAGGCCACAUAGCUUUUGCAUUUUCCCACCAUAUGGCGGCAGCGCCUUUAAGAUAAUGAGUUGCAAACGGGACUUUGUCAUCCUCAUCAGUACGAGCAAUCUCAAGUUUCCUCUCAAUGGUUCGCAACCAGUCGUCUGCGUCCAAGGGAUCAAUAACCUGACUGAAACUGGGUGGCUUGGUUCUCUGAAAAUCUGACAGUUUGGAGUGAUGACCGUACUGAUUUCUAUUCUGCCCAACCAUAGCUUGCACACUCCUUAAUAUUUCAAUCAGAUCAUUAUUCCUCCUUUCCUCAAACAUACGCAGAAUUUGCUCGGUGGAGGGCGGAUUUGGCGGGGGAGGCGGUGGUGGAACGUACGGCUUGGGGGAGUGUCCCACCUAUCGUGCAGAACGACGAACAGGAACAUCCUCACGAGCGUCGCUACUGUUGCCUCCCCGCGUCAUCCUAUUGUUUGUUUUUUCCCAAGACAACGCAACCGAGAUGAGCAACAUCCAAAAUAAAGUGGAGAGAAGCCAGCGACAAAACCUGAGAGAAAACGAAAUAACGAAGGGAACACGUCAAAUAAAACAGAGUUCCAACAUAAUUAUACAUAGACUCGUACAUAAAAGAUAAAUGACAUGAUAAGCUAAACUACUCUCAUACAUGAAACGGAACAUCAUGACUGGUACGACUACAUCCAUACAUCAUCCUGACAAUUGCGGAUACUCGAACGCUCUACUGCUCUGCUGGUGCUGCGGGGUCCUCUCCUGAAGCGGACUCGGAUUCCGAACUGACGAGGUUAACCGAGACCUCCGGGUUAAAAGUAACGCGACGACGCUGCCUCGAGGGCUCUCCCUCCGGGGCAGGUGCAGGGUGAGACUAAAGCAUCGGGGCUACGGGGGUAGUGAGAAGUGAAACCCACUCAGCAGGAGCACUGAGAGGAUUCACGGUCGAGGUGCCCGAGCUACUCGGAGGAGUAACCGGUGAAAUAGGUGAACUAGAACUGGAUGGAAUAUAUGGAGUAAAUCCCGUAGACGAUGGAGUAGUGAAGGAUCUAGUAGCGGCUAAAGCAGUACGAGCAUGAGUCAGCUCUCGAGCCAGCUCGUGAAUCAUAAGGUAGCUAGCAGUGAUAUAACGAGAAAGGUGGCUAGCAGCACUAUCAGUCUCCGGAUCAAUGAUAGGAAAACGGACACGACCAUUAUCAUGCAGGGAGGGAUAGUAGUGGAAACCUGGGUGGUUCUGCAUCCGGACCUCGUUAUAACGAAGCUCGACGAGGACCUCAAAUGCAGCGAACUGGACAUCUUGAGAAGCGGUAGAAGCAAAACCGCUCCUAGAGGUACGAGUGUAAGAGCUGGAAGCUGAACUGGCGUGCAGAGUAACCACUGCGUGAUACUCAUACACUGAGUCUGCUAGAUGCUCCCAGUACACAUGAUAGACUGGAUCGUCACCAAGGGGGUACAGCCGACGUCACACGUUAUAGAGGAGAUGCGGCGACGUGUACAGCAUCAGCUGCAACUGACACGGAUACGGCACCAGAGCCAUCUACACUCACAGCCAUUAGUAGGUUAGAAUAAAAAUAAAACGAGUGCAUGCAAUGUAUCAAUCAGCUACAAAUGCUGCCGGCACUCAACUUAUACGUUUAACUAACGUCCAGUUACCACGUCGUUAGUCUAGCGUGGCCUACAGUCAGUGCGGCUCUGAUACCAAGCGUUGUGCACCCCGGCUCAGAGCAACCGGAUUACCUUGUAUUGCCAGCCCAGAGACCAUGUCUUCUGGCAACACACAACAUCUUGGUACAGAAAGCAACCGCUUUAUUGAUACUAGCGGAACAUGGUUCAUAUUACAACAAGUUGCGAGGCCAAGCGGCACACACGGUGCGGCUGAACAAUAUGUACAUUAUUUAGUGAACAUAAAGGGGCCUCGAUCGUGACAACUACGCAGCAGCAGAACGACGACGAAGCGGAACUCCAUAGCACAGGGACACCGAUGUGGACACGAUCUAGACUCGGACAGCACUCGGUUCCAACGAGACUUUCCUAAAAGCUGGCAUGACACGCCAGGUCAGUACAUUGAAUGUACUUGCAAGCUCACAACAAGCAUAAACAUAAUGACAAACAAUAUCAUGAUAAUUGACCAAUUGAAUCAUUAAUGCAAAAUCAUACUAGGGAUGUAGUGAUCAUAAUCUCGUGCCUUAAGUCUCUCGGACUUGCUUACCAAACGGUGAUCUCUUGGAUCACAAACAGACCAACAUCUUGGUCUUUGAUCGGGUUACCUCAUAACCCAACGGUGAUCUUACUCGGAUCACAAUCUGACCAAAUACUUGGCCUCCAGCAUCAAGAUGAUUUCUCAACCAUCCCUUUCAACAGUGCAUAGUUAUUACCUUAGUGUGAAAAAUUUAUUUAAACGUUGACCCAUGGUGUGACCUACUUUCGAUCAUGUCCGUAACCAUGGACUCGGCUAUCGAUAGAUUUAAUACACUCUGCAGAGGUAGCGCACUGUACCCACACCAAGGAACCCAUGGCCUCGCACUCCCAUACGGUUGGACCAACAACAUUCCGACAGAACCCCUCCAUUGCCAUGACACUCUCCCGGCCACUCCGACUCACUCCCCACCGGGCUAAGUCCUGGGUGGCCCCAUGCCUACCAAAGACACCAACGGCCACCGUCGUGGCAAAACAUAAACAGUCCCAAACGGGGACAAGGUACCAUAAGAACAACGGGCACACAAGGUUAUGUCUGCUUACCGGGCCAGGGUAACGCACGCCCAUAACCUUCCCUCAUUGGAGGCACCGACCAGAGGCAUGACAACGGACCGAAUAAAGGCCUUCCCACAAAGGCAAAUGUGGUUGCACUGGGGAAAAAGUCGAUUCAAUGGCACCAUGACCCGAUCAACGAUAUGUUCAAGUUGAGUUAUUAACAGGUUCAACUUAAAGUGAAGGUAACCGGUGUCAUGAUAUGCCAUGAAAAUGCAACACUAACAAAUAUGCACCACGCAUCAUCAGAAAUAACUGGGUCAACCUCAUCAAGUACUAAGCAUAGAUAUCACUAACUCAUAACACCUCUCUGGUUAUGUUUGCUUAGCAAAUUAACCAUGACAAUAUCUUAGCAAACUUCUUUCCUUAAUCAAGAAAAUAUUAAGCCAACUAAUUCUUUUUCAUAAACAAAUUACUUCCUCAUAAGCAAAUAUUACUUUUAAUGUCUUAAACUAGCUUAGUUAGUUUUAAACUUCUGUAAACUAACCAUAUCAACUUAAACAAGCAUCCAACAGAAUAUAUAUAUUUAUUUUAGCGAUUUAAAUGCAUGGAUUAAAUCAUUUGUUCAAGUUGAAAAAUCACAAAUGUUGCAAUGACACCAUGAAAAUGUUGUUGUGGCUUCCUUAGUGCAGAUGAGGUUCACACUCCUCCUGGUGAUCCUCAAGACAAGCUUCACCUUUUGAAAACAAUUAUAAACACAAAAAGAAAUCAUCAAGAAACACUCUGAAAUUCACCAUAAAAUCUAGACAGCGGAGAAAAAAACUCAUUUUUGGUGAGCUGCUAGAUCUUUUCAUAAAGAACACAAUGCAAAAAGAAUCAAUUCAUUUGGACUUAUGGUUAAAAAGUUGUGGCUCUUGAAGCUCUCUGGAAUAUUUUGAAUUUGAUUUAAAUAAAAACAAAACUAGGGGUGACAUCGAAGGCGUCAACCCGCGGGGCGCCUCUACUCGUACCUCUUCGGGAGCGGCCAGAGUGGCUGACUAGCGGGCCCCGCUAGCCAGGUGAGAGGGAGGGGGAGAGGGAAACAAAGCACGGCGGAGCUUCCCCGGACCUCACGCCGGCGAGGAGGGCGUCUUGGCCCGAGCUAAAGGGAUGGAUCGAAAGAGAAGACGAAGACGCACCUGCCCGUACCCGUAGAUUAGCUAGGGGUGGUCGGACGGCGUCAGAACGGGCCUCUCCAGCGGCGACAGAGAGCGGAGGUCGCCGGAGUUGGAGAUGACGGCGACCAGAGGCGGCACCAGUGGCUCCAAUCGGGCAGGACGCCACCACUGAAGCACGGCGGAGCCUCUAGAAGGGUGGCCCGGGCUUGGGAAGGGUUGAAGCUGCGGGGACGGCGGCCCGAGGCCUGCCCGGCCGGGCUACGGCUUCCUACUGGUUUGUGGAGUGUGUGAGAGGAGUGGGUGAUGCUCGAGAGGGCUGGGGAGGGUGGUAUAUAUAGCCGAGCGAGGUGAGGGGUUCGGGCUCCGCCGAAGGACACCUGGACACGGCGCCCGGUCACGAACGGCGUCAGUGAGCGAGGGAGAAGGCGACGCAGCUCACGCGGGCACUGUGGGGGGCGGAGACGAGCACAGGAACGAGGGGAAGGCGCGAACACAGUGCACAGCGCACUGUUGGGUUGGCCGGACCGCGCCCGUGCUUGUUGCGGCGAGCUCCGGUGUCGGCGAGCGCCAGGAGGGAGUUAAGGGAGUCGGGACAAUGAUCGUGGCGAAGAUUGGCAAGGCGCGGCAGGCGGGGAAGCGAGCACGCGCUCAAUAGCGGCUCCGGCGCAUCGCAGAGUGCGUCGGCUGCAUGCCAGCACGCCUGGACGAACGCGGUCACCGCGUGAACUAUGACAUCAGGCCGCGCUAAGCUUAAACUUCAUGUCUGGCAUUAAGAUGGAGUUUCACUAUGAGGUAAGUUUCUGGACAGUAACUUUGAGAGCUUAUUGUGGUCAAAAUACUAAGAGUUGGGAGCUUAGCUUUGGAGGUUAGCAAUCAUCUAGGAGGGUAGUGAAGCACAAGAAGAUUCAGCAGCAUUGGAGCAAGUAAAAUGGUAGUUGAUGUAGAAACUACCAUUUCUGUCUAGAACUGAAAACAUUUUCUGUAGCAAAAAUAUUCCAAAAAGUGAUGAAAUAUUUUUGCUCAGGAAGGUGUCCUAGGGUUCAAAGAAUAUUUGGGAAUUUUCUCAGAUUUUUGUGGGCAAGAAAAAUUGGGGUUGCUUUGCAACACAAUGGGCUGGUUAGGGUUUUGGAGGGGAAAAUGAAUAUUUUUCAUUUAAGAAAAAUAUUCAUAAUAUUAUUUUGAGGUGGAUGAGAGAAGAAGUGAUGUCUAGAGAGAGAAAUGAGUCACUUGGGUGAAAGUCAAGGUGGUACCCAAGUGUUUAAGUCCAACUGAAGUGAUUCAAACUCCAAAAUUCAAAUCAAAAUCCAACUAAAAUCAGAAAAAGAAGAGAGGGCAAAAACCAGGCUGUCACAGCAAAUCACUACUAUAAGUCCUGUAGCAGACCAAUUCAUAUUUUAUUCAUGCAUUAUAUCUACUAUAUUCCAACUUUUCUAUGGGAAAAACUCAUCAAAGAAAACCAUAGAAUCAUCAAAACAAGCAUACAACGCAAAGAAAGCAGAAUCUGUAAAAAACAGAACAGUCUGUAUUAAUCUGGAUAUUUCAAAUACUUCUGAAGCUCCAAAAAUUCUGAAAAAUUAGGACGACCAGAGCAAUUUGUAUAUUAAUCUUCUGCAAAAAUAAUUGGUAUUUUAUCACGCACUGGUUAAAAAUAAGAAUUGUUUUCGUGAGCAAAAAAGUUUCUGUUUUUUCAGCAAGAUCAAACAACUAUCACCCAAGAAGAUCCUAAUGGCUUUACUUGGCACAAACACCAAUUAGAACACAAAAUACACAAUCAUAGCAGUAGCAUAAUUGUGCUAACACUCAAGAACAGAAAGAAAAAAGCAAAAAUAAAUUUUAUUCAUUGGGUUGCCUCCCAACAAGCGCUAUAGUUUUACGCCCUUAGCUAGGCAUAAAGCAAGGAUCUAAGUUUUGUCAUCUUUGUUUCGAGAUCCAUAAGAUGCUCUCAUGAUUGAUUCAUUUGGAGGCUUAAUUCUUGUUCUAGGGAAGUGUUCCAUCCCCUUCCUUAGUGGAAAUUGGAACUUAAUAUUGCCUUCUUUCAUAUCAAUCACGGCACCAAUAGUGCGUAAAAACGGUCUACCAAGAAUAAUUGGACAAGACGGAUUGCAAUCAAUAUCAAGAAAAUUAAAAUCUAUGGGCACAUAAUUCCUAUUUGCAAGAAUAAGAACAUCAUCAAUUCUUCCUAUAGGCUUUUUGAUAGUAGAAUCCGCCAAGUGCAAAUUUAAAGAACAUUCUUCAAUAUCGGUAAGACCAAGCACAUCACAUAAAGAUUUCGGAAUUGUAGAAACACUAGCACCCAAGUCACACAAAGCAAAACACUCAUAAUUUUUUAUUUUGACCUUGGUAGUAGGUUCCCACUCAUCAUGUAAUUUUCUGGGAAUUGAAACUUCUAAUUCCAAUUUGUCUUCAAAAGCUUUCACCAUAGCAUCGACAAUAUGUUUAGUAAAAGAUUUAUUUUGUUCAUAGGCAUGGGGUGAAUUAAUCAUGGAUUGCAACAAAGAAAUACAAUGAAUCAAAGAGCAACUAUCAUAAUUAAUGUCUUUGUAAUCCAAAAGAGUGGGCACAUCACUAGUUAAAGUCUUAACUUCUUCAAACCCACUUUUAUCAAUUUUCUCAGCAAGAUUUUCACCCUUCGAAAUAUCGGGACGCCUUCUAGCUAAAGGUUACUCUUCUCCAGUCCCUUUUUCAUCAAUCUUAACUUUACUAAACAAGGAAUCAAUAGAAGAAACACCAAUCACUUUAAGAUCAUCAUUUUUAUCUUCUAACAAGAUUGGUUUAGCGGCCAUUUGAUUUACUAGGGUAGCUUGUGCAUCGGAUAUUUUUCCUAGCACACUUUCAGAAAAAGCAUACUUAGAUUGAAGAUUGCAAACUUCUCUACUAAUAUCAUCAAGUUGUUUUGUUAUAGCAUCAAGCACAACGGAGUGCUCCUUAAGUUCUUCGGUAAAAUACUUAUUAUGCACAAAUUGUGUAGUCAUAUAUUCCUUAGUACUUUUCUCAAUUUCAAGCAAAAUAUUGGGGUAAGGAACAUCAUAGUAUUUUCUUUGAGGCAUCAUGACUAUGCAAACAAGAACGCACACAAAAACAGAUCCUGCAAGAAAACGGCGAACGAAAAAGAGGGCGAAUAAAACGGCAAAUUUUUGUGAAGUGGGGGAGAGGAAACGAGAAGCAAAUGGCAAAUAAUGUAAAUUGCGAGGAGAUGAGAUUUCUGAUUAGGAACCUGGUAUAUGUUGAAGAUCCUCCCUGGCAACGGCGCCAAAAAUUCCUUUUGAUGCGGCUUGAAGCUACGUCGAUAUUUCCCCAAAGAGGAAGGGGUGAUGCAGCACAGUAGCGGUAGGUAUUAACCUCAGUGAUGAAACCAAGGUUAUCGAACCAGUAGGAGAACCAAGCAACACAACAUAAACAACACCUGCACAUAAAUAACAAAUACUCGCAACCCGGCGUGUAAAAGGGGUUGUCAAUCCCUUUCGGGUAGCGGCGCCAGAAAUUGGCAAACGGACGAGAAUAAAUUGUAGUAGAUUGAUAGAUCGAACGCGAAAUAAAAUAAAAUAGGAAUAAAUUGCAGCAAGGUAUUUUUGUAUUUUUGGUUUAAUAGAUUUGAAAAUAAAAGCAAAGGAAAAUAGAUUGCAAAGGCAAUUAAUAUGAUAAAGAGACCCGGGGGCCGUAGGUUUCACUAGUGGCUUCUCUCGAGAAAAAUAUCAAAUGGUGGGUAAACAAAUUACUGUUGGACAAUUGAUAGAACAUCAAAUAAUCAUGACAAUAUCCGGGCAAUGAUCAUUAUAUAGGCAUCAUGUCCAAGAUUAGUAGACCGACUCCUGCCUUCAUCUACUACUAUUACUCCACACAUCGACCGCUAUCCAGCAUGCAUCUAGUUUAUUAAGUCCAUGGAGAAACGGAGUAAUGCAAUAAGAACGAUGACAUGAUGUAGACAAGAUCUACUUAUGUUGAUAUAGACCCGAUCGUUUUAUCCUUAGUAGCGAUGACAUACGUGUCGGUUUCCCUUCUGUCACUGGGAUCAAGCACCGUAAGAUCGAACCCACUACAAAGCACCUCUUCCCAUUGCAAGAUAAAUAGAUCAAGUUGGCCAAACAAAACCAAAUAUCAAAGAAGAAAUACGAGGCUAUAAGCAAUCAUGCAUAUAAGAGAUCAAAUAAACUCAAAUAACUUUCAUGGACAAAAAGAUAGAUCUGAUCAUAAACUCAAAGUUCAUCCGAUCCCAACAAACACACCGCCAAAAGAGUUACAUCAUAUGGAUCUCCAAGAGACCAUUGUAUUGAGAAUCAAACGAGAGAGAGGAAGCCAUCUAGCUACUAACUACGGACCCGAAGGUCUACAAAGAACUACUCACGCAUCAUCGGAGAGGCACCAAUGGAAGUGAUGAACCCCUCUGUGAUAGUGUCUAGAUUGGAUCUGGUGGUUCUGGACUCUGCGGCGGCUGGAAUUUAUUUUCGUCGACUCCCCUAGGGUUUCUGGAAUAUUCGGGUAUUUAUAGAGCAAAGAGGCGGUUCAGGGGGCACCCGAGGUGGGCACAACCCACCAGGGCACGCCUGGGCCUCCUGGCGCACCCUCGUGGGUUGUGCUCCCCUCGGAGCACCCCCCCCCCAGGCGCUUCUCCGGCCCAUUGGAUGUCUUCUAGUGCAAAUAAUCCACAAAAUGUUUCGCUGCGUUUGGACUCCGUUUGGUAUUGAUUUCCUGCGAUGUAAAAAACAUGCAGAAAACAGCAACUGGCACUUGGCACUAUCUCAAUAGGUUAGUACCAAAAAAUGAUAUAAAUGAUUAUAAAACAUCCAAGAUUGAUAAUAUAACAACAUGGAACAAUAAAAAAAUUAUAGAUACGUUGGAUACAUAUCAUUCUCCAGCGACGAUUAGCUCUAGACGGUGAAGCGCUGCCGGAUCGUGAACGUUGCACGCUUGCAAUCAAGUAGAGAUGUCGUGCUUUCGGUCUUCAGUUCGAGAGACUGCUCGUGGGCGAUACGAGGGAUCUUCAUCAACUGUUCGUGGGAUUCCAAGUACGAUCCACACCGACACAUUUAUCUUCCGCUGCAACUCGAUGACGGUAACGAUCAUGAUCACAACCCGUUAUGCAUCUUCAUAUGAUCACAGGUGAUCGUAGGUGCGAAAUUUUUUGUUUUCUACUACAUUUCCCAACACUAUCACAGUUAACUUUGAAGGUUCCAGCAGGUAGCUGAUACGUCUCCAACGUAUCUAUAAUUUUUUAUUGUUUCAUGCUGUUUUAUUAUCAAUCUUGGGUGUUUUAUAAUCAUUUUAUAGUAAUUUUAUAUCAUUUAUUGGUACUAACCUAUUGACAUAGUGCCAAGUGCCAGUUGCUAUUUUUUACAUCCCAGGAAAUCAAUAUCAAACGGAGUCCAAAUGCCACAAAACUUCACGAUGAUUUUUUAUGGGCCAAGAGGAAGCAGAUGGGCCCUGGUUGCACCUGGGGGAGUCCCGAGGAGGGGACAACCCACCAGGGCGCGCCAGGAGGCCCUGGCGCGCCCUGGUGGGUUGUGCCCACCUCGGGUUCCCCUCGGACCGCCUCUUUGCUCUAUAAAUACCCAAAUAUUCCAGAAACCCUAGGGGAGUCGACGAAAUAUUCAUCCAGCUACUGCAGAGUCCAGAACCACCAGAUCCAAUCUAGACACCAUCACGGAGGAGUUCACCACUUCCAUUGGUGCCUCUCCGAUGAUGCGUGAGUAGUUCCUUGUAGACCUUCGGGUCCGUAGUUAGUAGCUACAUGGCUUUCUCUCGCUCGCUGAAUUCUCAAUACAAUGGUCUCUCGGAGAUCCAUAUGAUGUAACUCUUUUGCGGUGUGUUUGUUGGGAUCGGAUGAACUUCGAGUUUAUGAUCAGUUAUAUGUUUUUAUAUCCAUGAAAGUUAUUUGAGUUUCCUUGAUCUCUUAUAUGCAUGAUCUCUUAUAGCCUCGUAUUUCUUCUCUGAUAUUUGGGUUUUGUUUGGCCAACUUGAUCUAUUUAUCUUGCAAUGGGAAGAGUGUUGGGGAACGUAGUAAUUUCAAAAAAAAUCCUACGCACACGCAAGAUCAUGGUGAUGCAUAGCAACGAGAGGGGAGAGUGUGUCCACGUACCCUCGUAGACCGAAAGUGGAAGCGUUAGCACAACGUGGUUGAUGUAGUCGUACGUCUUCACGAUCCGACCGAUCAAGUACCGAACGCACGGCACCUCCGAGUUCAGCACACGUUCAACUCGAUGACGUCCCUCGAACUCCGAUCUAGACAAGCUUUGAGGGAGAGUUCCGUCAGCACGACGGCGUGGUGACGAUGAUGAUGUUCUACCGACGCAGGGCUUCGCCUAAGCACCGCUACGAUAUGACCGAGGUGGAUUAUGAUGGAGGGGGGCACCGCACACGGCUAAGAGAUCCAAGGGGUCAAUUGUUGUGUCUAUGGGGUGCCCCCAUGGCCACGUAUAUAAAGGAGUGGAGGAGUGGGAGAGGGCCGGACCCUAUGGCGCGCCCUGGAGGAGUCCUACUCCCACCGGGAGUAGGAUUCCUCCCCUUCCAAGUAGUAGGAGUAGGAGACAAGGAAGGGGAAGAGGGAAGAGAAGGAAGGAGGGGGCGCCGCCCCUCCCCCUAGUCCAAUUCGGACUAGUCAUUGGGGGGCGCGCGGCCUGCCUCUCUCUCUCCCCUAAAGCCCAAUAAGGCCCAUAUACUUCUUCCCCCGUAUUCCCGUAACUCCCCGGUACUCCAAAAAAUACCCGAACCACUCGAAACCUUUCCGAUGUCCGAAUAUAGUCGUCCAAUAUAUCGAUCUUUACGUCUCGAACAUUUCGAGACUCCUCGUCAUGUCCCCGAUCUCAUUCGGGACUCCGAACUACCUUCGGUACAUCAAAACGCAUAAACUCAUAAUAUAACCGUCAUCGAACUUUAAGCGUGCGGACCCUACGGGUUCGAGAACUAUGUAGACAUGACCGAGACACGUCCCCGGUCAAUAACCAAUAGCGGAACUUGGAUUCUCAUAUUGGCUCCUACAUACUCUACGAAGAUCUUUAUCGGUCAAACCGCAUAACAACAUACGUUGUUCCCUUUGUAAUCGGUAUGUUACUUGUCCCAGAUUGGAUCGUCGGUAUUUCAAUACCUAGUUCAAUCUCGUUACCGACAAGUCUCUUUACUCGUUCCGUAAUACAUCAUCCCGCAACUAACUCAUUAGUUGCUAUGCUUGCAAGGCUUUAAGUGAUGUGCAUUACCGAGAGGGCCCAGAGAUACCUCUUCGACAAUCGGAGUGACAAAUCCUAAUCUUGAAAUACGCCAACCCAACAAGUACCUUCGGAGACACCUGUAGAGCACCUUUAUAAUCACCCAGUUACGUUGUGACGUUUGGUAGCACACAAAGUGUUCCUCCGGUAAACGGGAGUUGCAUAAUCUCAUAGUCAUAGGAACAUGUAUAAGUCAUGAAGAAAGCAAUAGCAACAUACUAAACGAUCAAGUGCUAAGCUAACAGAAUGGGUCAAGUCAAUCACAUCAUUCUCCUAAUGAUGUGAUCCCGUUAAUCAAAUGACAACUCAUGUCUAUGGUUAGGAGACAUAACCAUCUUCGAUUAACGAGCUAGUCAAGUAGAGGCAUACUAGUGACACUCUGUUUGUCUAUGUAUUCACGCAUGUAUCAUGUUUCCGGUUAAUAGAAUUAUAUCAUGAAUAAUAAACAUUUAUCAUGAAAUAAGGAAAUAAAUAAUAACUUUAUUAUUGCCUCUAGGGCAUAUUUCCUUCAGUCUCCCACUUGCACUAGAGUCAAUAAUCUAGUUCACAUCGCCAUGUGAUUUAACACCAAUAGUUCACAUCACCAUGUGAUUAACACCCAUAGAUCACAUCGUCAUGUGACCAACACCCAAAGGGUUUACUAGAGUCAAUAAUCUAGUUCAAAUCGCUAUGUGAUUAACACCCAAAGAGUACUAAGGUGUGAUCAUGUUUUGCUUGUGAGAGAACUUUAGUCAACGGGUCUGCCACAUUCAGAUCCGUAUGUAUUUUGAAAAUUUCUAUGUCAACAAUGCUCUGCACGGAGCUACUCUAGCUAAUUGCUCCCACUUUCAACAUGUAUCCAGACUGAGACUUAGAGUCAUCUGGAUCAGUGUCAAAACUUGCAUCGAUGUAACCUUUUAUGACGAACCUUUUGUCACCUCCAUAAUCGAGAAACAUAUCCUUAUUCCACUAAGGAUAAUUUUGACCGCUGUCCAGUGAUCUACUCCUAGAUCACUAUUGUACUCCCUUGCUAAACUCAGUGUAGGGUAUACAAUAUAUCUGGUACACAGCAUGGCAUACUUUAUAGAACCUAUGGCUGAGGCAUAGGGAAUGACUUUCAUUCUCUUUCUAUCUUCUGUCGUGGUCGGGCUUUGAGUCUUACUCCAUUUCACACCUUGUAACACAGGCAAGAACUCUUUCUUUGACUGUUCCAUUUUGAACUACUUCAGAAUCUUGUCAAGGUAUGUACUCAUUGAAAAAACUUAUCAAGCAUCUUGAUCUAUCUCUAUAUAUCUUGAUGCUCAAUAUGUAAGCAGCUUCAUCGAGGUCUUUCUUUGAAAAACUCCUUUCAAAUACUCCUUUAUGCUUUCCAGAAAAUUCUACAUUAUUUGCGAGCAACAAUAUUCACAUAUACUUAUCAGAAAUGUUGUAGUGCUCCCACUCACUUUCUUGUAAAUGUAGGCUUCACCGCAAGUCUGUAUAAAACUAUAUGCUUUGAUCAACUCAUCAAAGCGUAUAUUCCAACUCCGAGAGGCUUGCACCAGUCCAUAGAUGGAUCACUGGAGCUUGUACACUUUGUUAGCAUCCUUUGGAUCGAUAAAACCUUCUUGUUUCAUCAUAUACAACUCUUCUUCCAGAAAUCAAUUCAGGAAUGCAGUCUUUACAUCCAUUUGCCAGAUUUCAUAAAAUGUGACAAUUUGCUAACAUGAUUCGGACAGACUUAAGCAUCGCUACGAGUGAGAAGGUCUCAUCGUAGUCAACAUGAUUCAGACCGUACUCUGGUUGACCUACGAGGUUCGGUAGUAACUUGAUCUGAAGUUUCAUGAUCAUCAUCAUUAAUCUUCCUCACUAAUUGGUGUAGGAGUCACAGGAACAAAUUUCUGUGAUGAACUACUUUCCAAUAAGGGAGCAGGUACAGUUACCUCAUCAAGUUCUACUUUCCUCCCACUCACUUCUUUCGAGAGAAACUCCUUCUCUAGAAAGGAUCCAUUCUUAGCAACGAAUGUCUUGCCUUCGGAUCUAUGAUAGAAGGUGUACCCAACUGCCUCCUUUGGGUAUCCUAUGAAGAUACAUUUCUCUGAUUUGGGUUUGAGCUUAUUAGGAUGAAACUUUUUCACAUAAGUAUCACAGCCCCAAACUUUAAGAAACGACAACUUUGGUUUCUUGCCAAACCACAGUUCAUACGGUGUCGUCUCAACGGAUUUAGAUGGUUCGCUAUUUAACGUGAAUGCGGCUAUCUCUAAUGCAUAACCCCAAAACGAUAGUGGUAAAUCGGUAAGAGACAUCAUAGAUUGCACAGUAUCUAAUAAAGUACAGUUACAAUGUUCGGACACACCAUUACGCUGUGGUGUUCCAGGUGGCGUGAGUUGCGAAACUAUUCCGCGUUGUUUCAAAUGAAGACCAAAUUCGUAACUCAAAUAUUCUUCUCCACGAUCAGAUCAUAGAAACUUUAUUUUCUUGUUACGAUGAUUUUCCACUUCACUCUGAAAUUAUAUGAACUUUUCAAAUGUUUCAGACUUCUGUUACAUCAAGUAGAUACCAUAUCUGCUCAAAUCAUCUAUGAAGGUCAGAAAAUAACGAUACCCGCCGCGAGCCUCAACACUCAUCGGAUCGCAUACAUCAGUAUGUAUUAUUUCCAAUAAGUCUGUUGCUCGCUCCAUUGUUCCGGAGAACGGAGUUUUAGUCAUCUUACCCAUAAGGCAUGGUUCGCAAGCAUCAAGUGAUUCCAAAAUCCCAUCAGCAUGGAGUUUCUUCAUGCGCUUUACACCAAUAUGACCUAAACGGCAGUGCCACAAAUAAGUUGCACUAUCAUUAUUAACUUUGCAUCUUUUGGCUUCAAUAUUAUGAAUAUGUGUAUCACUACGAUCGAGAUCCAACAAACUAUUUUCAUUGGGUGUAUGACCAUCGAAGGUUUUAUCCAUGUAAACAUAACAACAAUUAUUCUUUGACUUUAAAUGAAUAACCGUAUUGCAAUAAACAUGAUCAAAUCAUAUUCAUGCUCAACGCAAACGCCAAAUAACAUUUAUUUAGGUUUAACACUAAUCCCGAAAGUAUAGAGAGUGUGCGAUGAUGAUCAUAUCAAUCUUGGAACCACUUCCAACACACAUCGUCACCUCGCCCUUAACUAGUUUCUAUUCAUUCUGCAACUCCCAUUCCGAGUUACUUCUCUUAGCAACUGAACCAGUAUCAAAUACCGAGGGAUUGCUAUAAACACUAGUAAAGUACACAUCAAUAACAUGUAUAUCAAAUAUAACUUGUUCACUUUGCCAUCCUUCUUAUCUGCCAAAUACUUGGGGUAGUUCCGCUUCCAGUGACCAGUCCCUUUGUAGUAGAAGCACUUAGUCUCAUCUUAGGUCCAGACUUGGGCUUCUUCACUUGAGCAGCAACUUGCUUGCCAUUCUUCUUGAAGUUCCCCUUCUUCCCUUUGCCCUUUUUCUUGAAACUAGUGGUCUUGUCAAUCAACACUUGAUGUUUUUCUUGAUCUCUACCUUCGCCGAUUUUAGCAUCGCGAAGAGCUUGGGAAUUGUUUGGGUCAUCCCUUGCAUAUUAUAGUUCAUCACGAAGUUAUAGUAACUUGGUGAUAGUGGCUAGAGAACUUUGUCAAUUACUAUCUUAUCUGGAAGAUUAACUCCCACUUGAUUAAAGCAAUUGUAGUACCCAGACAAUCUAAGUACAUGCUCACUGGUUGAGCUUUUCUCCUCCAUCUUGUAGGCAAAGUACUGUCAGAGGUCUCAUACCUCUCGACACGGGCAUGAGUAUGAAAUACCAAUUUCAACUCUUGGAACAUCUUACAUGCUCCGUGGCGUUCAAAACAUUUUUGAAGUCCCGGUUCUAAGCCGUAAAGCAUGGUGUACUAAACUAUCAAGUAGUCAUCAUACCGAGCUUUGUCAAACGUUCAUAACGUCUGCAUCUGCUCCUGCAAUUGGUCUGUCACCUAGCGGUACAUCAAGGACAUAAUUCUUCUGUGCAGCAAUGAGGAUAAUCCUCAGAUCACGGACCAAGUCUGCAACUUUGCUACUAUAAUCUUUAAACUUAGUUUUCUCUAGGAACAUAUCAAAAAAAUGGGGAGCUAUAUUGCGAGCUAUUGAUCUACAACAUAGUUAUGCAAAUACUAUCAGGACUAAGUUCAUGAUAAAUUAAAGUUCAAUUAAUCAUAUUACUUAAGAACUCCCACUUAGAUAUACAUCCCUCUAAUCAUCUAAGUGAUCACGUGAUCCAUAUCAACUAAACCAUGUCCGAUCAUCAUGUGAGAUGGAGUAGUUUUCAAUGGUGAACAUCACUAUGUUGAUCAUAUCUACUAUAUGAUUCACGCUCGACCUUUCGGUCUCCAGUGUUCUGAGGCCAUAUCUGCAUAUGCUAGGCUCGUCAAGUUUAACCUGAGUAUUCCGCGUGUGCAAAACUGUCUUGCACCCGUUGUAUUUGAACGUAGAGCUUAUCACACCCGAUCAUCACGUGGUGUCUCGGCACGAAGAACUGUCGCAACGGUGCAUACUCAGGGAGAACAUUUAUACCUUGAAAUUUUAGUAAGGGAUCAUCUUAUAAAGCUACCGCCAAACUAAGCAAAAUAAGAUGUAUAAAAGAUAAACAUCACAUGCAAUCAAAAUAUGUGACAUAAUAUGGCCAUCAUCAUCUUGUGCCUUUGAUCUCCAUCUCCAAAGCAUCGUCAUGAUCUCUAUCGUCACCCGCAUGACACCAUGAUCUCCAUCAUCUUGAUCUAUAUCAAUGUGUCGUCACAUGGUCGUCUCGCCAACUAUUUCUCUUGCAACUAUUGCUAUCGCAUAGAGAUAAAGUAAAGCAAUUAUUUGGCACUUGCGUCUUAUGCAAUAAAGAGACAACCAUAAGGCUUCUGCUAGUUGCCGAUAACUUCAACAAAACAUGAUCAUCUCAUACAACAAAAUAUAGCAUCAUGUCUUGACCAUAUCACAUCACAACAUGCCCUGCAAAAACAAGUUAGACGUCAUCUACUUUGUUGUUGCAAGUUUUACGUGGCGGCUAUGGGCUUGAGCAAGAACCGUUCUUACCUACGCAUCAAAACCACAACGAUAGUUCGUCAAGUUAGUGCUGUUUUAACCUUCUCAAGGACCGGGCGUAGCCACACUCGAUUCAACUAAAGUUGGAGAAACUGACACUCGCCAGCCACCUGUGUGCAAAGCACGUCGGUAGAACCAGUCUCGCGUAAGCGUACGCGUAAUGUCGGUCCGGGCCGCUUCAUCCAACAAUACCGCCGAACCAAAGUGUGACAUGCUGGUAAGCAGUAUGACUUGUAUCGCCCACAACUCACUUGUGUUCUACUCGUGCAUAUAACAUCUACGCAUAAAACCUGGCUCGGAUGCCACUGUUGGGGAACGUAGCAAUUUCAAAAAAAUUCCUACGCACACGCAAGAUCAUGGUGAUGCAUAGCAACGAGAGGGGGGAGUGUGUCCACGUACCCUCGUAGACCGAAAGCGGAAGCGUUAGCACAACGCGGUUGAUGUAGUCGUACGUCUUCACGAUCCGACCGAUCAAGUACCGAACGCACGGCACCUCCGAGUUCAGCACACGUUCAACUCGAUGACGUCCCUCGAACUCCGAUCCAGCCAAGCUUUGAGGGAGAGUUCCGUCAGCACGACGGCGUGGUGACGACGAUGAUGUUCUACCGACGCAGGGCUUCGCCUAAGCACCGCUACGAUAUGACCGAGCUGGAUUAUGGUGGAGGGGGCACCGCACACGGCUAAGAGAUCCAAGGGAUCAAUUGUUGUGUCUAUGGGGUGCCCCCCUGGCCACGUAUAGAAAGGAGUGGAGGAGGGGGAGAGGGCCGGCCCCUAUGGCGCGCCCUGGAGGAGUCCUACUCCCACCGGGAGUAGGAUUCCUACCCUUCCAAGUAGUAGGAGUAGGAGACAAGGAAGGGGAAGAGGGAAGAGAAGGAAGGAGGGGGCGCCGCCCCUCCCCCUAGUCCAAUUCGUACUAGUCAUUGGGGGGCGCGCGGCCUGCCUCUCUCUCUCUCCCCUAAAGCCCAAUAAGGCCCAUAUACUUCUUCCCCCGUAUUCUCGUAACUCCCCGGUACUCUGAAAAAUACCCGAACCACUCGCAACCUUUCCGAUGUCCGAAUAUAGUCGUCCAAUAUAUCGAUCUUUAUGUCUCGAACAUUUCGAGACUCCUCGUCAUGUCCCCGAUCUCAGUCGGGACUCCGAACUACCUUCGGUACAUCAAAACACAUAAACUCAUAAUAUAACUGUCAUCGAACUUUAAACGUGCAGACCCUACGGGUUCGAGAACUAUGUAGACAUGACCGAGACACGUCUCCGGUCAAUAACCAAUAGCGGAACCUGGAUGCUCAUAUUGACUCCUACAUACUCUACGAAGAUCUUUAUCGGUCAAACCGCAUAACAACAUACGUUGUUCCCUUUGUCAUUGGUAUGUUACUUGUCCGAGAUUCGAUCGUCGGUAUCUCAAUACCUAGUUCAAUCUCGUUACCGGCAAGUCUUUUUACUCGUUCCGUAAUACAUCAUCCCGCAACUAACUCAUUAGUUGCAAUGCUUGCAAGGCUUUAAGUGAUGUGCAUUACCGAGUGGGCCUAGAGAUACCUCUCCGACAAUCGGAGUGACAAAUCCUAAUCUUGAAAUACGCCAACCCAACAAGUACCUUCGGAGACACCUGUAGAGCACCUUUAUAAUCACCCAGUUACGUUGUGACGUUAGGUAGCACACAAAGUGUUCCUCCGGUAAACGGGAGUUGCAUAAUCUCAUAGUCAUAGGAACAUGUAUAAGUCAUGAAGAAAGCAAUAGCAACAUACUAAACGAUCAAGUGCUAAGCUAACGGAAUGGGUCAAGUCAAUCACAUCAUUCUCCUAAUGAUGUGAUCCCGUUAAUCAAAUGACAACUCAUGUCUAUGGUUAGGAAAGAUAACCAUCUUCCAUUAACGAGCUAGUCAAGUAGAGGCAUACUAGUGACACUCUGUUUGUCUAUGUAUUCACACACGUAUCAUGUUUCCGGUUAAUGCAAUUCUAGCAUGAAUAAUAAACAUUUAUCAUGAAAUAAGGAAAUAAAUAAUAACUUUAUUAUUGCCUCUAGGGCAUAUUUCCUUCAAAGAGGUGCCCGGCAGUGGGUUCGAUCUUACGGUGCUCGAUCCCAGUGACAGAAAGGGAAACGACACAUAUGUAUCGUUGCUACUAAGGAUAAAAAGACGAGAUCUAUAUCUACCACCAUAUAGAUAAACGGAUCUUGUCUACAUCAUGUCAACGUUCUUAUUGCAUUACUCCGUUUUUCCAUGAACUUAAUACACUAGAUGCAUGUUGGAUAGCGUCGAUGUGUGGAGUAAUAGUAGUAGAUGCAGGCAAGAGUUGGUCUACUAAUCUUGGACGUGAUGCCUAUGUAAUGAUCAUUGCCUAGAUAUCGUCAUAAUUAUUUGAAGUUCUAUCAAUUGCCCAACAGUAAUUUGUUUACCCACCGUUUGCUAUUUUUCUCGAGAGAAGCCACUACUGAAACCUACGGCCCGCGGGUCUUCUUUCUCAUAUAUUCGCCUUGCGAUCUACUUUUCCUUUGCAUUUUUAUUCAGAUCUAUUAAACCAAAAAAUACAAAAAUACCUUGCUGCAUUUUAUCUUUAUUUAUUUUUAUUUUGUGUUCGAUCUAUCAAUCUACUACAAUUUACCUCACGUCCGCUUGCCUAUCUUGAGGCGUCGUACCCCGGAAGGGAUUGACAACCCCUUUAACUCGUCGGGUUGCAAGGUGUUGUUGUUUGUGUGCAGGUGCUGUUUACAUUGUGUUGUUUGGUUCUCCUACUGGUUUGAUACCUUUGUUUCAUAACUGAGGGAAAAACCUACUGUCGCUGUGCUACAUCAUCCCUCGCUCUCCGGGGAAUUACCGACGUAGUUGCAGCUACCAUCAAGGAGAAUUUCUGGCGCCGUUGCCGGGGAGGAUCUUCAUAAUAACCAGGUUCCUAGUCACAAAUCUCAUCUCCUCGCAAUUUACAUUAUUUUCCAUUUGCCUCUCGUUUUCCUCUCCCCCACUUUACAAAAAUUUGCCGUUUUAUUCGCCACUCUUUUUCCGUUCGCCGUUUUCUUGUCGGAUCUGUUUUUGAAUGCAGUCUUGUUGUGUAGUCAUCAUGACUCAAGAGAACACCAAAUUAUGUGAUUUCUCAAAUACCAACAACAAUGAUUUUAUUGGCACUCCGCUUGCUCCUCCCACCACUAGUGCGGAGACUUGUGAUAUUAAUAUCGCUUUGCUGAAUCUUGUUAUGAAAGACCAAUUUUUCGGUACUCCUAAUGAGGAUGCCACGUCCCAUCUUAAUACCUUCAUGGAAUUAUGCGAUAUGCAAAAGAAAAAAGAUGUGGACAAUGAUGUGGUCAAGAUGAAAUUAUUUCCGCUCUCUUUGCGCGAUUCUGUAAAAAUUUGGUUCUCUUCUUUGCCUCGUAAUAGUAUCGAUUCUUGGAACAAGUGCAAAGAUGCUUUUAUCACUAAGUAUUUUCCUCCCGCAAAAAUUAUUUCCCUUAGGAUCCAGAUCAUGAAUUUUAAGCAACUUGAACAUGAGCAUGUUGCACAAUCUUGGGAAAGGAUGAAAAUGAUGCUAAGGAAUUGCCCAACUCAUGGGUUAAAUCUUUGGAUGAUCAUACAAAAUUUUGAUGCGGGGUUGAAUUUUGUUUCUCGUAAUCUUUUAGAUUCCGCCGCGGGUGGUACUUUUAUGGAAAUUACUUUGGGUAAAGCCACCAAAUUUCUUGAUAAUAUCAUGACAAAUUAUUCACAAUGGCAUACCGAAAGAGCUCCUACUAGUAAAAAACUUAAUUUGGUUGAAGAAAUUUCCUCUUUGAGUGAUAAAGUUGAUGCUCUUAUGAAAUUGGUUGCUAGUAAAAGUGCUCCUAUUGAUUUUAAUGAUAUUCCUUUAUCUACUUUGAUUGAGCAAAAUAGUGAUGCCAUUGAUGUGAAUUUUAUCUCUAGAAAUAAUUUCAACAACAAUGCUUAUAGAGGUAAUUUUAAUCCUAGGCCUUUUCCUAGUAAUUCCUCUAACAAUUAUGGUAAUUCCUAUGGAAGUCAAUCUUAUAAUAAUAAUAGGAACACCUCUGAUAUUGAGAAUAAUAUUAAAGAAUUUAUCAACACACAAAAAGUUUUCAACACUUCCAUAGAAGAAAAGUUGAAUAAGAUUGAUGAUUUUUCUAGAAGUGUUGAUAGAAUUGCUCAUGAUGUGGAAAAUCUCAAGAUGAAAUUUUUUGUGCCUAAAGUAGAUGAAUCAAUUAAAGAUCUUUAUGUUUCUAUGGAUGAAAGUAAGAAAAGAACUGCUGUGCUUAGAGCUAAAAGAGAAUUUUUAGAAAAAGCUUUUUCUAGUGAUUAUUCUUGCAAAAGUGAUGAAGAUCUUAAAAUGAUUGGUGUUUCUUCUAUUGAAUCCUUGUUUAGUAAAGUUAAGAAUGAUGAAAAAGGGACUGGAGAAGAGUCAACUUUAGGUAGAAGGCGUCCCCAUAUUUCGUAGGAUGAAAAUCUUGUUGAGCAAAUUGAUGAAACUGGGUUUAGAGAGGUCAAAACUUUAACUAGUGAUGUGCCCACUCUUUUGGAUUACAAAUACUUUAAUUAUGAUAGUUGCUCUUUGAUUGAUUGUAUUUCUUUGUUGCAAUCCAUGAUAAAUUCACCCCAUGCUUAUGAACAAAAUAAAGCUUUUACUAAACAUAUUGUUGAUGCUAUGAUGAAAGCUCUUGAAGAAAAAUUGGAAUUGGAAGUUUCAAUUCCUAGAAAAUUGCAUGAUGAAUGGGAACCUACUAUCAAACUCAAGAUUAAAAAUUAUGAGUGUUUUGCUUUGUGUGACUUGGGUUCUAGUGUUUCUACAAUUCCGAAAUCUUUAUGUGAUGUACUUGGUCUUACUAAUCUUGAAGAAUGUUCUUUGAAUUUGCACUUGGCGGAUUCUACUAUUAAAAAGCCUAUGGGAAGAAUUAAUGAUGUUCUUAUUCUUGCAAAUAGGAAUUAUGUGCCCAUAGAUUUUGUUGUUCUUGAUAUUGAUUGCAAUCCUUCUUGUCCUAUUAUUCUUGGUAGACCGUUUUUACGCACUAUCGGUGCCGUGAUUGAUAUGAAAGAAGGCAAUAUUAAGUUCCAAUUUCCUUUGAGGAAAGGUAUGGAACACUUUCAUAGAACUAGAAUUAAGCCACCUUAUGAAUCAAUCAUGAGGGCAUCUUAUGGAUCUCGAACCAAAGAUGACAAAACUUAGAUCCUUGCUUUAUGCCUAGCUAAGGGCGUAAAACUAUAGCGCUUGUUGGGAAGCAACCCAAUGAAUAAUUUGUAUUUUUGCUUUUUGCUUUAUUUUCUUGAGUGUUAGCACAAUUAUGAUACUGUUAAGAUUGUGAUUUUUGUGUUUUAGUUAGUGUUUGUGCCAAGAAGAACCAAUAGGAUCUUCUUGGGUGAUAGUUGUUUGAUCUUGCUGAAAAAGACAGAAACUUUGUGCUGACGAAAAUAAUUUUCAAAUUCACCAGAACGUGAUAAAAUGCUAAUUCUUUCUGUAGAAGAUCAAUAUACAAACUAUCUAGUUUGUCCUAGUUUUUAGAAUUAUUGGAGUUCCAGAAGUAUUCGAACAAAUCAGAUUGCUACAGACUGUUCUGUUUUGACAGAUUCUGUUUUCUUUGUGUUGUGUGCUUAUUUUGAUGGCUCUAUGGUUUUCUUUGAUGAGUUUUUGCCAUAGAAAAGUUGGAAUAUAGUAGAUAUAAUACAAAAACAAAAUAAGAAUUGGUUUGAUACAUCACUUAUAGUAGUAGUUUACUUUUCUUACACUAACGGAUCUCACGAAGGUUUUGUUGAGUUUUGUGUGAUUGAAGUUUUCAAGUUUUGGGUUAUCUUACGAUGGAUGAAGGAAGGAUGUAAGAGCCUAAGCUUGGGGAUGACCCGGCAUCCCAAGCUAUUAACCAAAAAUGAGCAACAAACUAAGCUUGGGGAUGCCCCCGAGUGGCAUCCCUGCUUUCUUCCAACAACUAUCGGUAUUUGCUCGAGGCUAUAUUUUUAUUCGUCACAUGAUAUGUGUUUUGCUUGGAGCGUCUUGUAUGAUUUGUGUCUUUGCUUGUUUUAUUUUGUGUUUUAAGUCAUCAAUCCUUGCUGGACACACCUAUUUGAGAGAGCCAAAAUUAUAUCAUGACUUGUUAUAAUUGCUCUCUUGCUUCACUUAGAUUUAUUUGAGAGUUAGUAAAAUUUUGAAGAAAUUCUCUCUUGCUUCACUUAAAUUAUUUUGGGAGAAAUAAAAUUUGUUAUGCUCAUGAUCUUCACUUAUAUUUGUUUGAGCUUAUGAAAAGCAACACAUAAAGUUAGUCCCAAAGUGAUAGAUAUCCAAGAAGGAUAAAGUAAAAAAAUGUCAUGAAGAUCAUUGGACAAAAUAAACUUGAUUCUUAGUAAUAAUUUUGAGAUAUGAUGGUGUGAUAUGUGAGUUAUGUUGAUGAGUAAUUGUGCUCUAGUAAGAAUAUUGGUGUUAAGGUUUGUGAUUCCCUAUGUAUGCAUGAAAGUCAAUAAUCAUGCAAUGAAAAUUAUAUCCUACUUGUGGUGCAUUAUUCGGUGUUAAUUAUGCUUAAUGCUUGCUUAUGAGAUUAUUCGUUUCUUGGUUGGUCGCUUCCCAAUCUUUUGCUAGCCUUCAUUUUGCACCAAGUAUGACCUCUACUUGUGCAUCCAAAAUCCUUUACACCAGUUUUGCCACAUGAGUCCACUAUAUCUACCUAUAUGCGGUAUUCUUUUGCCGUUCUAAGCAAAUUUGCAUGUGCCAUCUCUAAUUUUCAAAAUAAACUUCUCUUUUGUGUGUUUGUUUCGCUCGCGAAACGGUAACGGGUGGCUAAUAUUUUCCAUGCUAGAUGUGUUAUUAUCAAGAUGAGUGUUUAUUCACUUGUCAUUGCACGAGAGUAAGGCAAAGGUUUUAGGGAUGCCCAGUCCUGAAAUACAAAAAAAAAUUACUUUAUGUUGUCAAAUAAUAAAUUCCUUGGAAAGUGUUGGUAUGGAGGGCACCCGUGGAUACGGUUAGCUAUGGAAAGUGAAAGAAUGGUGGAAAAAGGAAUAAACUUUAUUUUCUGUUUGGGAACCGCCUAUGGCAUAUCUAGCAUGGAAGGUGUUGGGAACUCUAAGUCGCUUUCGUUGGUGCUAUGGAUACACCUCCCAAAAUGUUUUUAUCUCUAAGUUUUUCGCUUUGAGCUAUGGCACCUCUACAAAUCCCUACUUCCCUCUGCGAAGGGCCUUUCUUUUACUUUAUGCAAUUUUUAUUUUGAAAUUUGAGUCUCCAUCUUCUCUCAUAAAAAGCACCAACUAGGAGGCAAUAUGAUCGUGCUCAAGUAUUGGGUGUAGUUAAUAUUCGAGUGUGUUUCAUGAAUGGAUCAAUGUUUGAGCAUGAUGGGCUAGGGAUAACUUACUUUAGCGUUGAUAUUUUGAAAGACAUGGUUGCUUGUUGAUAUGCUUGAGUAUCUAAAUUAUUAUGUCAAAACAAGACUAUUGCUUUGAAUCACAUAAAAGUCCAAAUGUCCAUGCUAUAAAGACAAGAAUAUGAUAUGACUUGAUGAACAACACUCCACAUCACAAAUUCUGUUGUUAUCACUUACCUACUCGAGGACGAGUAGGAGUUAAGCUUGGGGAUGCUGAUACGUCUCCAGCAUAUCUAUAAUUUUGAUUGUUCCAUGCUGUUUUAUUAUCAAUCUUGGAUGUUUUAUAAUCAUUUUAUAGUCAUUUUAUAUCAUUUUUUGGUACUAACCUAUUGACAUAGUGCCAAGUGCCAGUUGCUGUUUUUUCCAUGUUUUUUACAUCGCAUGAAAUCAAUAUCAAACGGAGUCCAAAUGCCACGAAACUUCACGAUGAUUUUUUAUGGGCCAAAAGGAAGCCCUGGCGCGCCCUGGUGGGCUGUGCCCACCUCGGGUGCCCCCCGGACCGCCUCUUUGCUCUAUAAAUACCCAAAUAUUCCAUAAACCCUAGGGGAGUCGACGAAAUAUUUAUCCAGCUACCGCAGAGUCCAGAACCACCAGAUCCAAUCUAGACACCAUCACGGAGGGGUUCACCACUUCCAUUGGUGCCUCUCCGAUGAUCCGUGAGUAGUUCCUUGUAGACCUUCGGGUCCGUAGUUAGUAGCUAGAUGGCUUUCUCUCUCUCUCUCUCUCUCUCUCUCUCUCGCUGAAUUCUCAAUACAAUGGUCUCUUGGAGAUCCAUAUGAUGUAACUCUUUUGCGGUGUGUUUGUUGGAAUCUGAUGAACUUCGAGUUUAUGAUCAGUUAUAUGUUUUUAUAUCCAUGAAAGUUAUUUGAGUUUCCUUGAUCUCUUAUAGCCUCGUAUUUCUUCUCCGAUAUUUGGGUUUUGUUUGGCCAACUUGAUCUAUUUAUCUUGCAAUGGGAAGAGGUGCCCGGUAGUGGGUUUGAUCUUACGGUGCUCGAUCCCAGUGACAGAAAGGGAAACGACACGUAUGUAUCGUUGCUACUAAGGAUAAAAACACAAGAUUUAUAUCUACCACCAUAUAGAUAAACAGACUUGUCUACAUCAUGUCAUCGUUCUUAUUGCAUUACUCCAUUUUUCCAUGAGCUUAAUACACUAAAUGCAUGCUGGAUAGCGGUCGAUGUGUGGAGUAAUAGUAGUAGAUGCAGGCAGGAGUCGGUCUACUAAUCUUGGACGUGAUGCCUAUGUAAUGAUCAUUGCCUAGAUGUCGUCAUAAUUAUUUGAAGUUCUAUCAAUUGCCCAACAGUAAUUUGUUUGCCCACCAUUUGCUAUUUUUCUCGAGAGAAGCCACUAGUGAAACCUACGGUCCCCGGGUCUUCUUUCUCAUAUAUUUGCCUUGCGAUCUACUUUUCCUUUGCAUUUUUAUUCAGAUCUAUUAAACCAAAAAAUACAAAAAUACCUUGCUGCGUUUUAUCUUUAUUUAUUUUAUUUUGCGUUCGAUCUAUCAAUCUACUACAAUUUACCUCACGUCCGCUUGCCUAUCUUGAGGCGCCGUACCCCGGAAGGGAUUGACAACCCCUUUAACUCGUCGGGUUGCGAGGUGUUGUUGUUUGUGUGCAGGUGCUGUUUAUGUUGUGUUGCUUGGUUCUCCUACUGGUUCGAUACCUUGGUUUCAUAACUGAGGGAAAUACCUAACGUCGUUGUGCUACAUCAUCCCUCCCUCUCCGGAGAAAUACCGACGUAGUUGCAGCUAGCAUCAGUGGCGGAAUCCAAGUCAACCGGUGGUCGCCCGCUAAUUCUAUUAGCUUGCUUGUCUCCAUCUUCCAUCACUUCAAAUUCAGCUAAGUAGCUCAAGAUAAAAUUACUUGUUGCGAAUGGACUUUGGUGAAUAUUUUCAUGUAGAAAAUCAUGUCUCGCCUUCCACAGUGCCCACAGCGUAACCAUCGUUUUCAUGUACUCAUAUUCCUUCAUCCAUUCAUCCAUGGUGAAAAAACAGUUUUUUUUUUCAUGGUUCUCUCCAAAACUACCGACGUGCUCGUACAUAUCUUCAUCGACCAGAAUCCACACACACAAGGCUAGUCGGCAUUUGAGUAAUGAGUGCCGCCAGGAGUCCUCCCUUCCGCACACCAUACAGUCUGAUUCAGUUGCCAUGUUCCUGUGACUUGGCAUAUCAUGUGUUGGCAGACUCAGUUUUCCUAGACGUCAUGCAAAAACUCUUAUUUAUCCCGGCAAUUUAUACUUCCAAAUUUUCACUCAAGAUCUUUUUUUUCUUGAAUCAGAACCUCCUGAUCUUCAUUUCAACCAAACUUCUCUCCUGUUUCUGGUUAGGAUAAGCAUUUGAUACGCCAAUCUAACUGAGAAAUUCCCAAACCUUUCCAUACUCCACCCCCAUGCAUCUUCCAUGUCCACCGUAGGGAGUGGUAUUUGAGGAACAUCUCUGUCCAGGGACAGAAGAUACUCAUCUAGUGCAUUCAGAUUCCAGCUUCUGUUUGGUUUAUCAAUCAGCUCACUCACUAGGUCCGGGUGAUUUUUCUUUAAAGGUGCCAAGGGCCCCAUCAUGUUUUCUCUUGGGAGCCAAUUUUUGUACCAAAUACUUGUUGAUUCUCCAUUGCCUAUUCUUCUAACUAAAAUUUGUUUAAAAACAUCUCUGCCUUCAAGUAUGGACCUCCCAAUCAGGCUCAGCUUAGACCCUAGUUCAGCCUGCAGAAAUUAGUUGUUUGGAAAUUACUUUUAAAAUCAGAGAACUAAGUGUGCUUGGUUCUUGAAUGAUUCUCCAUCCUUGCUUGGCCAAGAGUGCCAAGUUAAAUAAUUCCAUCUUUCUGAAUCCCACUAAGUAUUUUGGUUGACACAUAUCCCUCCACGACACCCACGCUGUCUUCCUCUUACCUUCUCGUGCACCACACCAGAAUUUCCUCAUAGAUGCAUCGAUAUGCUCGCAUAAUCCCCGAGGUAACUUAAAAUACCCUCAUAGAUAUGCCAUGGGGUAUUUUAAUUAAGUUAUCCAUAAUUUCUCAAACUUAUCUUUAACUUUUUUGUUUCAUGCUGCUAUAUUAUCAUUUCUAUAUACUUUUAUUACCAUUUUACAUUAUUUUUCUGGACUAACCUAUUAUUUUAGUGCCCAGUGCCAGUUCCUGUGUUUUGCUUGUUUUUUUGGUUUCGCAGUAAACCAAUAUCUAAGGAGGUCAAAAUAUGUUGCCGAUUUAACACGAUUUUUGGGGCAACAAGAAACACUGGAAGCUUCGGGACACAUCGAGAGGCCACCAGCCAGCCAAAAGGGCAGGUGGCGCAGUGAGGGGGUGGGCGCUCCACGUGAGCUGUGGGGCCCUCGGUUACCACCUUGACCUAAUUUUUAUUGUGAGUUGCAGUCUUUAUGCACUACCUCUAUCCAUAUUUUGCUAGCCUCUUCGGUGCCACGCAUUUCCCACUCUCACACUGAGACAUUGUGCAUACUUCGUCAGUUCGCCGGUGCAUCCAACCCCGUGGGAUGAUAUGCUCUCUCACACAAAAGCAUCAUUAUAUCUUUUUAAAGCAGCCACCAUACAUGCCUAUUAUGGCAUUUCUAUAGCCAUUUUGAGAUAUAUUGUCAUGCAACUUUCGUUGUUACAAUUUAUUAUAUGACUUGAGCAUUCAUUGUCAUUUUGCUUUGCACGAUCAUGGAGCUAACAUGAUAUUUGUGGGGCCACCAUUCAUAAGUGAUAUACAUGUUAAGCUGAAAUCAUCACACAUCCUAGUACACUGCCAGAGGCAUUCAUUUGUAGUCAUUAUUUUUCUUUCAGAGUUCUAAGUAAACAAAGUGUGAUGCAUUCUAGAGUGUGCUCCUACCUAUGAGGAAUAAAAAAAAGAGUCCAUCAACAAAUGAGAGAAAAAGAGAGGGGGCACACUACUAUCCUUUACCACACUUGUGCUUCCAAGUAGCACCAUGUUUUUUGUAUAGAGAGUUUUCCAAACAAUGGCACUGAACGAGGAAUAAAUUUGGUCCUUUUACACUGAAAGUCACUCCCUGCACCACGAACCAUGCAUUGCGCAUCUGAUUCAGCAGAGCUGCGUGACUAAAACGUCAAGUAGUAUGUACCCGAAACAGCCCCAACCAUCUAACAUCCUUAAUCCGCUCGUCCACCUCGGCAGAGAAAUCGAGGUCAUCUUCCUCUUGGCCAUGUAGAUUCAUAUCUGCGAAUUGAUCUUCUAGUUUCGGUUUGGGGCCAUAGUAGUCCCAGAAUUCUUCCUCAUCCAUCUCCGAUAUACUUCCACCAUCAUUCGCCCUUCCAUCCUUCUCCUCCCCCUCCCCCUCCCGCGUAGACAGUCGUGCGGCCCUUGCUUCCUCCGCCUUACUCCCCUCUGGUACCUCCAAGCCCCCCCUUAUCUUUGCUCCCUGCUAUUGUUCAUCUCCACAACCCUAGCCUCCAACUCCCUGUCCACCAGUGACAGCGGAUCCGCCGUGCAACCAAACCGGAGUUACCUGAUCCGGGUAAGAUCACCAAUCACCGGAGGAACCCCGGCCGCCGGUGAGAGUUUACGUGGACUCUUGCGUGGUCGCCAGAGGAAAGGUUGAAACCCUAGAUCGCCUAGGGGGAAAAACUUCGUUUGUCGCUCAUCUCCGGAGAGCCUUUACUAGAAAGAAAAACAAAGAGUUUUUUCUAGAACACGGUAAUAGCAUUUCUGAACUAGAUGGAGUGACUACAGCUGGCUCAGUUGCAAGCUUCAUGGCCCGUAUGACCAACUGUCAGUCGGCAGAAAAUCGUACUUCAGCCUCGGAGAGAAGGCAGGAGCGGGACGGUUGUUUGCCACACUUUUCACGAGUUUUACAUGUAAAAGGCUACAAUGCAUAUAUAUACGUGUAUAUAUGGAGAUAUAUACCAUAUUUUGGCAAUUCUUUUUGGAUAUGCGACCCUUUGAUAAUUCUAGCCCAGCCCCUGGUUGCAUUCCAUCUGCAUCCAAGUGAUGUACCGCUCAAAAAAGAAAAACAUCCAAGUGAUGUAGAACGCACGGGGACGAUCAUUUUCUGAACAAAAUAUGACCCCAUGACUUGAACUGCCACUAUGUGAAUAUUGAAUGCAAGUUUGUAAAUUACGUACCCGCAAAAAGAAUCUUGACAUAUUUUGACAAUUUAAGAAAGUGAAAAUUUAUCAGGACAUUGUAACUCAGCAGGUGGUUGCCAAGAUAAAACAAUUCAUGCAAAAAGUGCUCAAUUUGUAUCGAAUUUUCUCUCGCUCGUGUAAAAACUGUAAUUAACAAAUAGUGCACACGUGCAAACUAUGUGCCUUAGACUAGUACAUAGGGGGGUCUUGUUUUUUCAAAAAAAUAUAAAAAUAGAUUUAAAAGUUUCAAAACAUAUCAAUUGUUUUCUACAAAUACAUAUGCAUGGUCUUCAAGUACCGUGUAAAGUUUCAUUAACCAGUGCGAUUAUUUGCAGGCUACACAAGGAAGACAAAUAUCUGGGCCAAAUGCAACAAGUAAAAUGCCGUGUGUACAUCACGUAUGGGGCAUAUAUGUUCAUGAAAUGUUGUACGUGUAUGCUACAAAUACGUGCUUAUGUGUAUACUUUGUCAGAUUUUUUUAGGUCCGUAUAAAAUAGUAUUUUCGCUAAAAGGAAAAGAACAUGGACACCGUAUGCAUUCUUCACGUAUACAUUGGCAUCUAUACAUGCGGUGUCAGGUUGUGUCUGAACACGGAGACUACGAACGCCUAUACCAUCUGGUUUCAAUGGAUGAUAAAUAUCUUACCAGCCCUGCCAACAAUCUGCUAUGAGGUGCUACAAGGCGGAUUUGCAGAGACGCGCCAUCACCAUGUGCCAGGGAUUGAAUGCCUUGUUGCCCGUGUCUCCUUCCCUGCAAUCAAGUGGCGUGCAGCCCUCUUAUCUCCUGCAUUAUGCGUACUCGCCGACCCUUCCUUUUCACUGAAAAUAGCUGUGCGUACGCCUCGUCGCCCCAUCAAUUGGCAAGCUACGCUACGCACAUGCAUGCGGACUACGCAGGCCCGAACCCACCGGGGUUGGUUGGCCGACGGCCAGCCCGGCCGAUCCCGUGUGCAGUGCAGUGCACCAUUCCGCUAGCUCUGCUCUCAGGAAUGGGCUAAAGCUGAAUCGAAACCAGCUGCAUCCUGUCCUGCAGACUGGUCUCGACGAUGAACAGCAGGAGUACUACAACUCAGAAAGGAAAAUAAUAAAAUGGACAGUGGAGUGGAAUUCCGUGGUCAGCUAGCUAGUAGCUGUCGGUUCGGCGACUUGGUACGCGCAGAAAUUCAUUGCCAAAUGCUGCUCCAAUAAAUGCUUAUGUGAUGGCUCACUGUACCACAGUCCACAGCAUAUCAAUGCGUUUGCAUGCAUGCGUACCUACGUCGUAUGGCCGACCCGACCCAGCAGGUGCUUUUGCGCGUACGCAUGACCAGAAAUAAUGCGCUGCACUUGCCGGUGGAGAUGCACAUCCAUAGUGUACGCUGUGUCAUUGUAUGUGCGCCGUGAGAUCGACGAGAGACGCAGGGCACGGCACACACGCACCGACGCACCCACGUACGUACAUCCACAACCAGACCAGCAGCACGUCCAUGUGUUCCCAUCAUUUUCAAGUUUUACAUCUACUCCAGUUGCUUAACGCACGUAAGUACUACUCUCCAACAGACGAAUGACGGGGGCCACCACGUCCACAUGCACGAUUGUACUAGUAACAUGCAAACGCAAGUGCAGCUAGCCGCGUCCGCGUGCAUGCAUGCAUGCACGCGCGCGGUCUGCUGGUUGGUUGGGCAGACGGGAGCGUAAAUGCGCCCACCGGCACGCCCAGCCGACGCGCUCCCGGCUCCCUCUCCGGGCAGAUACGUCGCCAUCGCUCCCAAGUACUCCACCGUCAACUCACACCGGCGAAGAAAUCCGCGGCGCCCCUACACCCUGUCACCCACCCACUGCCCUGCCAUACGCACUGCUCCCUCAUGCCACCGUGUUCCUCGCCGAUCGAUCGUCGCCGCGUCGCGCCAUCGUGCUCCUGCGUGCCCACCGAUCGACCUCAGCUCGCAGAUUGGGGAUCGAGAGCCAGCCAGCCAGCCAGCGCGCCAACUAACCGCAUUUACUCCACUCCUAAGCUAGAGUGCUAGACGAGCUGCACCGGCCUCGGCCUACCUUGAGCUUCGCUAUAUAAGGCUCUGCACGGCCUCGGUCCAGCUUCAGAACACAGCAGAGCAUCAGUCCCCACCAGCGAGCUUUGAGUGGAGCGUAGCUAGCUGAGCUGCAAUGGGGAGGCGCGUGCGGGGUGUGGCGCUCGCGGCGCUGGUCGUGGUGUUGGCCCUCGGAGUGGCCGCCGAGGCGCGUCGCUUGGAGAAGGAAGGCUUGUUGGGCGGUGGUGGCGGUUUUGGCGGAGGAGGCGGCUUUGGCGGAGGGAUCGGUCAUGGUGGUGGCGUCGGGAUCGGGUUCGGAGGUGGUAAAGGUGGCGGCCUUGGAGGAGGCGGUGGUGCUGGGGGUGGGCUUGGCGGAGGGCUCGGCCAUGGUGGAGGCGUUGGAUUUGGGUUUGGUGGCGGGAAAGGUGGAGGUUUAGGCGGAGGAGGUGGCCUUGNNN